rnacentral:lncRNA from 1 species
AAGUACUGGAAAGUAAAAGAAAUAACACCAGUACGUUUUUUAUUCGCAGAAACCGUGCACCAGGGAGAAAAACUGCGUGCCCCUAACUCUUGAGGGACAAACCUUUCCACUAUGUAAAACUCACUUCUUACAAGAUUAUAGUCUAGGGAUACAACGACGAUUUGCAAUCCUGUCUAGUCUACCCACUAGUCUAGAUCUAUCUCUCCUCACUCCUCACAAGAUUAUAGUCUAGGGAUACAACAACGACUUGCUAUCCUGCCUAGUCUACCUACUAGUCUAGACCUACCUCUCUUGUCUCUCAAGUGUUUACAUAUGAAGGUAUAAGAAGAAGUUUCAACUCAGAACUCAGCUAACGCCUUUAACUGAUUCUUCUUGAACACUUCUCAGAAUACUCAACUCAGAACUCAGCUAUCCUAAUGAGAGGGAUUCUUCAGACCUCAGCUAACACCUUUAACUGACUCUCUAGAACUCAGCUCUCCUCGAUCAACUGAUCCUUCUUGAGUACUUCUGGGGUUGCUGCACUACCAUCACUCAUGAUAUGCAGAAUGCUAAUGGGUUUAUGAAAAGAGUUUUUGCUCUUGCUCUUGCUCUAAGAUUUACAAUCACCAAGGGAAGACUUAGAGGCAAAUGAGCAAUGCAAGGUAAAACCUAUACCCAGCUAAAACUAUGUAGAAAACUACAUCUUGAACAACCAAGGAGCAAGAAGAGACUUGCUCCAUAUAUAUAGGCAAAGUGCAAGCUAAAGGAGAGCAUGCCCGUUUACCAAAAUGGGAGGCAACUUUUGGACUUUAGUCCUUGUCCAAACACAUAAAGUGAGAGGGCCAAGGGACAAACAAAAGGCUCCAAGAGAGUAAAGACAAACAUAACUCUCUCAUAUGAUAAUGGUCCAACAAGGAAGAGACAAAAGGUUUUGUGAAUGAAAGAGACACAACAAAACCUAUUCCUAUAUGAGGUCACAUAGGUCAGCUGAUAGCUUGGGCGGUGCAUCACAUGGCUUAGCAGCUGACUUGGUUUGUGUAUCACAAAACCAGCUGGACUAAAAAAGGAGCUGCCUAAAAGUGCUUUAGUCAUGUGCUCAUGGGUUGGAAGAACAACACAACCCUAGACUAACUUGGAGCUCAAGCACGAUGAAAAAUGUUUUGCUAAAAGAGAUUUGAAAUUCAAAUACUUGAAAAGCUGAAGCAAAACCAUUUUAAAUCUGCACGAAGUCAGACUCAGAGAUUAGGAUAGAUACAACAGGGGUAUCCACCAAAUCUGGAUAGCAAGCAGAGCUGCCAUCCUGAAUGAAUGUGAUGCACAUGCAUGAACUACCUGAUGUACAUGAGAUAAAAACAAAGAGCCAGCUAAUAUAUUAGUUUGCGUAUCACAAACCUAGCUGGAGCCUCUAAGCUCUAGUCAUGUGGUCACGGGUUGGAAACACUACACAACCUUAGACUGACUUGAAGCACCAAGGCAACGACAAAUGUUUUGCUAAAGGGGAUUUGAAUUCAAACAGGGGAAUUCAAACUAAUGAUACACAAAUAGCAAAAGCAUUUAGACAUGCAUACAUAUAGACCCAAUAGAUUAGGACAGAUACACCAAGAGGUAUCAUCCGAUCUAGGAUGACAAGCAAAGCUGCCAUUCUCAGUGAAAAACAUGAGAUGCAUAUGCAUGAACUACCUGAUGCACAUGAGAUCUUGGCAUGUCUUCAUUCUUCACUUGUGAUAUCCUUACCAUCAGGAUAUGUAGAAUUCUCAAUGAAAAGCAUCAGAUGCAUAUGCACCAGUUACCUAGGCACAUGUGAUCUUGUCAAGUCUUCAUUCUUCACUUGUGAUAUCCUUACCAUCAGGAUAUAUAAAAUAGCUUGUGUCUUGUGUUUUGAUCAUAAAAGGGAUAGCCAAUAAUCUUUAUACCAACACAGUGUAGUAUCAUAAACAGCUAUGCCCGGAACAAACUUGAAUUUAAAAUUACCCUCCUCCUGCCCCUUCGUCGUCGUAAGGGAGGGGGAGGAGAGGAGAACAAUGAAGAUCCAUAUCAUACUGAUAUUCCUCAACUUUGCGGAAAAUGUUUGAUUCCAGAUCAUAACAACAGAUUGCUUCACGCGUCUUCAUGUAAAUGCGAUUCUUAGUGAUCGACACCGACCAGGCGCUUCCAUGAUUUGUCCUCACACCACACGGGCAAGGUGAAUAUUCCACCAUCAUCAUCACGACGGACAAGUUAAGACAAAAAUAAAUUAGUAACUUAAAUGUCAGUAACAAAUGACAUUUAAGUUACUAAUUUACAAUUAUAUCUAUUAAGGAUAUUCUUACAAUUAUACCAUUGCCAACUUGUUAGGUUACACUUUAAUGUUAACUUGCUACCCUAUGCCUUGUUUGGUUUAUGGAUUCAAAAGGUUGGAAGAGAAAGUUAUUCAUUUCCUUUGUUUAAUUAGCACAUUUGGAAAAGUUCUGAAGCACCGCUUCUCUCUCUCUCUAGGUUUCACGACAUAAGGUUCAGAGAUCCAGCGAGCAACGAGGGCGGCGACGAAGGAGAUCUUUGCGUCGACCCUUGCACAAUCCCUCUUCGGUGGGGAGGUAGGAAUAUAUCUUGGGGCGGACGACGGUGUCGAUAUCGAAGAGCGGUCUUGGGUGCGUGCUUUGAUCGGUGUGGAUCAAGUUUGAGAGGCGACGGUAGUGCAAAUCGGUGGAGAGGGUUUGUGAAGUCGUCGACGGUCAGGCUGUGCGAGGAGGCAGCGGUUUCAGCGGCUCGUGAUCGGAUCUGAGGCAGUACUUUAGAGGCGACCUCUACUGUUGUUGACUGGAGGACGAAGGAUUUGUCUCAUCUCUCCUCCCUGAAUUGCAGCGGUGUGGUGAUGGUGUUGAUGGUGCGAUGGCAUCGGGGACGCCCGCCGGAGGAGAUGUUGAGGCUUUUCUUCCUAGGGUUGGGCCUAGUCUGUCAUGGUCUUUUCGGGCCAAACGGACCAGGUCGAAUGCCUAGGGGUCUCUUAGAUCUGCUUCAAUUAAGUUAGAUGAUUAUGGGUUCCAAACUUUUGGAAUAAUAUGUUAGAAUUAGGGUCCCUAAUUAUUCCCGUCAUGUUCUAGUUUUGUAGUUGUGGUUUGAGUAGACUCAUGGUAGUUUCGGUGGGGUGUUUCAGAGCACCCUUGCAUGACAUACAUUCUCGUGCCCUUGCGGGUAUGUCAUGUUGUAAUUGUCAAUUAUUAUUUUUUGUUUAUUAAAGGCUUGACGUCCAUUCCAUAAAAAAAAAAUCUCACAUACCAUGGGAUUCAAUCUCUCUCAUAUUUUCCUAACAUUAAUUACAUCUUUCAAAUAUUAUUUUAAUAAAUGUUAUUACCAAAUUAUCCACAUAUUUUUUGAAUCUUGAAUAUUUUAUAUUUUAAUACUAAGGAUAUAAUUGGUAAAUUAAUGUUAUUUGCUUUUCUAUCAAUGCAUAAACCAAACAUUGGAAAGGAAAAUAAAAUACAUUUCCUAGUUACUUUCCUGACGUUUCCCAAACACAUGGUAUGAAAACUAGUGGGAAAUUUACUUUGCUAUGUACACAAGAAAGACUAAGGAAGUAAGGAACCAAUUUCUUUUCCAUCAACCAAACGAGGCCUAAGUUUCAUUUUAGCCAAUUUUCUACCUUAGGUUUUCGUAAUUAGCCAAUUUACUACAAUAAAUAUUAUUUUUACCAAUUUGCUACCCUAUGUAUUAGCCAAUUUACUACAUUUUUGUCAUUUUAAUUUGUCAAUUUCUUUAUCCAAACAUUAAUAAUUUUGAAAAUCUAAGGGUGAAAAUAGUCACUCUUGAAAUUUGGAUAAGUCAAUUGCCAAAAAGUUUUCAUCUUGAACGUCUAAAGUAUAACAAAUUUCAUGGAAGAGUAACAAGUUGUCUAAAAUAAAACCUUGGUUAGCAAAUUAGCUAAUUUGAAAAACACAUUGACUGAAAUAAAACUUACUGACACCAACAUGAAAGCUAAAGAGCUGAGGUACACUGUAGCAAUUAUGCCUAAAAUGAAAAUACAAAAUACGGUAGUCUUACCUCCCCGGCGGGAAAGCCUGUCAAAUAAAAGAGGAAAAGUGGCGCCACUCCGCUCAAAAAUUCAACAACCCCGCUCUUUCCUACAGCCACGUGUCCCUCACACCUCCCCCACCAAUAGAAACCCGCCUCUUCAUAUAAAUCCCCCACACUCCACAGUCCACACCACCUCUUCACACUUCUCUAACCGCACACUUCCCAAUGGCUUCAGAUUCCGGUACCCGCCGCGACGGCGUCGUUUCGCCUGCGAACAAGAACCCCCUCACCUUUCACCUCCAGAAGCUCGGCCUCGAGCUCACUUGCCCUCUCUGGUUCGUAAUCCCUUUCCUCCUCUCUCUGUCUUCGAUUCCAUCAGAAUCGAACAGAUCUUUGAUUUUCGGAGUCUGAAUCUUUGAUUUCCGUUGUUGAAUUGCAGCAUGGGGUUUUUCAACCGGCCGACAUUGCUGCCGUGCAAUCACAUCUUCUGCAAGUGCGUCUCUUUCUUAUUUGACCUAAUUUGAUUAAUCUGAUUCUCGAAGUUCUUAUCUUCUGUUUGGAUUUACCUGCAGCGGCUGUGUGCCUAAUCGGAACAAUUUCGGAGCAGAGUGUCCUCUGUGUAAUAUUCAAGUUCUUGGCGAAGGUAUGUGUGUUUUAGCCAUCAAUUAGGGUUUUGUGGUUGGAAAUGGUAAUUUUUCCCUAAAAGUGAAUUGAUUUGGGUUUGGAGUUGUUAUCUUGAUCUAAUUAGGUUUCUGUGGUGGGAAAUAGUAAUUUUACAUCGAGCCGGUUUCACAUGGAGUGAGUUUUAUCGUCAUAUGUGCAUAGUAUGAAGGGAUUCCUGGAAAUGGAGCCCCAUUUGAUUUUGAUAUAUAAUGAAAUUGAAAUGAUUGAUUGCUUUAGGGUGUAACAAUGAAUACAUAAGUAGUCAAGGUUAUUUUGAGAGUUUAGGUGAUAUUGUAGGAAUGUGUUUUCAGAAGGCAUUAUCUAGGACAGCUCUUUAUAUGGGUGAGCAAAAUGAGGAAGACAAAUUCUUUUUGAUGCAAAUGGGGAAGCCUGUUUUCGAAAUAGAGUUGUUACUUCAGAGUGUGCCUAGACUGUAUCUCUUGGGUUUGUGGUCUGAAAGCUUUAGGUCUGAAAUGAUAUAUGACCCUAAUGAAGCUUUAAAUGGUUAUUAUAUGUUUGGGCAGGGUUUGUGAUCAAACAGUGUUAGCCGUUAGGUCUUGUUUCAUGGCUGAUAUUCCUUAUUAGAUACCAAAAAAGUGUUUGGGGGAAACUUAAAUUAUCUCUCUUAUAAAAGGAAAAAGAAUAUAUAAUUCCUUUCUGAUGCAAUGAUUUUCUGGGAUGAUAGAUCUGAGGCAUGCGCCUUUUAUGGAAAGCAUAGUAGCAAUCUACAAAGGCAUGAAGGCCACGUACUGUACCAGCUCCUCCCCGCCUAUAUCUUCAGGUACAACAUCUCAAUAAACACACUUUGGAACUCCCCCACCCUCCCUGCUAAUGUUCAUACUUAAUCAGGGGCUAAUCAUUGAAGCUUUGAAUAUAUAUCAUUGCAGAUGUUAGAACAGAUUUGGCUCGCCCAGUUUCACAGGAUGUCAGUUUUACUGGGAAAACAACGACUAAAGAACCGUUUGACAAUUUCCAAGAGGGUACCAUUUUUUCAUCAAGGGGUAAUAACCGAGUUUGGGUUCCAUGUAGUCGGAAAGAUUCUGUGACAGUUGGAAUUGGCAAGAAUGAGAAAGUAGAUACCUGUAGCAUGCCGAUAGAUGGUAACAGUGAAGAAUUUGACUUGGGUACAGGACAUCAAUUUAAUGGUGAGGUAGAUCACAAGUCACCAUUACCAAGUUCUCAAAUAAGAUCUGUAACAAUGGAUGAGUGUAUGACUGCAGAAAGAGACAUGAAUCCUGUAGUGCAUUCGUUGCUGGAUAGUCCUCCUUCAUUUGGUGAUCCCAGAGGUUCAGAUAAUGAUAAUAGCUUUUACCAGCGCUCUGAGCAAGUAAGAAUUGUCUAGCUUCUGUAUUUCCUUUUCAUAAGUCAGUGCAAAUCAGCAUUAAUCCUUUGCAUCAUAUAUAGAAGUAAUGUUUUUGUCCAAAUGCUAUAAAAGUAUGAAAAUUUCAUCUUGACAGAUUCUUGAUAAAUUUAUGUUGGAAUUUGAAUGUGUGAGUCUUGAAAUCAUACUGUUUAUAUCCUUUUCAUGAUUUUAUUUUUCCUUUCAGAUUUCAGACAGUUCUUUGAUCAGGGGGUCAAUUAGGAAAAUUGAUGAUAGAACAGGGCAGAUGAGGCUGGAUAGUUCGGCAUCUGAUACUGAUGGUCAUUUGAGGGAACUCAAAAGACAAAAGAAACUGGACUAUGGACCAGUCUCAGGGUCUAAUUCUGAGCUGAAACUUGGAACAACUUCUAACGAGUCUUCCACAAUUAACACCAUUUGUGCCUUUUGCCAUUCUUCCACAAUCUCAGAGGUUAGUUUCUCUCAUACACACACACAUGCUAAUCUCAGUGUCUUUUUGUAUACAUGUCAAAAAGUUUAACUCACUAUGAUGAGUGAAAUCAUUCAGGUCACUGGGCCAAUGUUGCACUAUUCCAAGGGGAAAUUGGUGGAGGGAGAUGCGGCAACUGUUUCAGAUGUCAUACAUGUUCACAGGAUAUGCAUUAAUUGGUAUGUUCAAGCAGUAUUUGUGACGGUGUUUGUUUACAAUAGUUAUGAAUAGGGCUUUUGUUCAAUUUAAUAGUCUCACAAAUAUAAUGCUGGGUUUAUAAUAAAUAAUCUAAAAUGCUUCUUCAGCAGGGUUAUAAAUUAAAAUCCUAUUAUCAUUAUGAUCUUUUUUAUAUUGUAUGUUUUUCAGUUACUUUGUCAUGAUUUAUUAUUUCAAUUCAAUAUCAAUCAAAUAUGACAUGUAGCUAUAUAUUUUCAGAUAUGCAAGCCUGAUCUAAUUUUUAAUCUGUUAUGAAUUUUAGUUUCUAUUGGAUAUGCUUCAGUGUUUUCUUCUCCUAAAUGUAAAAUGGAUCCUUUUGAAAUAAGUUAAUUAUUUGGUUCUGCAUCCUUUUGACCUUGGAAGUCUAUAUACUAUGUUUCAUUUUAUUUGAAAGGGAAAAGAUGGACCAAUAUGUCCAAAUCUGGUUUGAGAAUAUUGGUUCAGGGUCAAUAAUUUAGUACUUUAGAAAGAUUGAUAUUUCUGGCUUACCUGAUUGCUUUUAAAAUUGUAUGCUACUAAAAAAAAUAUCAUGGAUUUGUCAUGGAUUUUGAACUGCAGGGCACCUCAAGUGUACUAUAAAGAUGAUACCAUAAAAAAUUUGAAGGCUGAAGUGACAAGGGGUGCAAAACUAAAAUGCACUAAAUGUGGGAUAAAGGGAGCAGCAUUGGGAUGCUAUGUAAAAUCCUGCCGAAGAAGCUACCAUGUUACCUGUGCAAUUGAAAUUUCUAAGUGUCGUUGGGAUUAUGUAUGUUACAUGCUUUAUAUGCUUUACUAUGUCGUUUUGCUAGUUUUAAGUCUCUCUUUGAGACUGAGCCCUUAAAGUAUAUUUUGUGUGUUUUGGCUUGUUACAGGAAAACUUUCUGCUGCUGUGUCCAGCACAUACGACAGAUAGAUUUCCCAAUGAGAAGUUGAAUCGUAACAAGAACAAGUAUGACAUCAUUAUCUCAGCAGUGUUUACUGUUUAGUUGAGCAGAUAUUUUUCUGUCUUGGUGCCACAAAAUGUUAAUUUUGUGAUUUUGACUGGUAGCUCUUCAAGCUAGUCUAUCUACUUACAACAUUAAGUCAACAAAAGGAAGAUGCUAGGAAAAUGUUUCUUUGCAUGCGGUUACUUUGUAGUCAGAUGGUAGUAGCUUGUCAAUGGUUAAUCUAAUUCCCUACUUUCUUUCAAUCUGCUCACAGGAAAUGUCAGCUCUCUGGUGGUACAGUAGCUUCAAAUGGAGUGAACAACUGGGUUUUAUGCCCUUCUGGUUUGUCUUCUGAAGAGAAGGUUAGUGCAAGAGAAUUUCUCUAUUUCUAAAUCACUUGGUUCUGUGUUAAUAGAAAUUAUGGGAAGGACUUUGAGAUAUUCUCAAAGUUUGGUUGAGCUUCUUUGCUUAAAUAAUGACCUUUUCUUUUCUUUCUCUUUUGAGGACCUUGUUGUGGUACAAAUACUAGAUGACUUUCAGUGUCUAAAUUUAUAUGCAUGACAGAAACUUGAAUAUAAUGAUAUUAUAAGAGUCUUAAUUGGUUGUGCUUAACUGCAAGGCUUGCAUACACUUGAAUAGAUUGUUAAGCUCCUUGAUUUCAGGCCUAGAAGUACUCGAUCUGUCAGUCUAAUUUGCAUAUAGUGUUUUCAAUGCCAUGUUUUAGCUCAUAACCUAAAAAUUUUCCUUGCUUUAUUAGAAACCUAAUUUAAGUUUCUUAUUGGUCUGAAUUAUAUAAGUUUUCUAAAUGAUGCAGAUUCUUCUGAUCAACUUUGCUGAGAUGAACUGUGCAACUUUGUCAAAGAGCUGGACACCUGAUGUUACCCAUGUGAUUGCUGCCCUUGAUGGGGAUGGUGCAUAUGUCCGGACGUUUAAAAUUUUCAUGGCGAUUUUGGCAGGAAAAUGGAUUGUGACAAUCGACUGUAAGUGAUGCAUAGAUAUUCUACCUUGUUGCUUCAGUACAUUUUUCUGUGGACUAUUGUUUUGAUUAAAUUACUUGUGAAUUUGUUUGAGCUGGAUACCGACAGGAUUUAUGUGUAAUUCUUUGCUCCUUAGUUUAGUAUAGAGACUUUAUAUGUUGGCAAACCUUAUUAAUGAUUCUUCCAAUUAAGGUAUCUUCCCCUUAAUUCUUGUCUUUGAGUACGCCUCUUAAAUUAGUAUGUGGAUUCUAAGGGUGACUGUAUUCUAGCCUUUUCUUGCUUAUUUGUUGGAGAAAUGCAUGUAUGGUACUACUAUUCAGAGCUAAAUUGUGCAUAUUGAUGUACAAUCCUCAGGAUUACGAAACAAAUACGCAUGCAUUCUGGUAAAACAAUUUUACUUUAGAAAGUAAAAUCUCCUUAAUUUGCAGAAUUCUUGUCAUGCAUUUCUUCUCACGGCAAUCUUAAUAUUCUCUUUUUAGCAAGUAACCUGGCUUCUUUUUAUCCUUGGUGUUUAAUUACACUGCAAAUGGGUGCAGGGGUAAAAGCAUGCAUGGAAACCAAGCAUCAUGUGGAUGAAGAACCUUAUGAAGUUAAUCUUGAUAACUAUGGGUGUCGCAGUGGCGCGAAAGCUGGCAGGCUUAGGGCACUAAGCAAUGUAAGUUCCCCUAAUGAAUACCUUGUUCAUCUGCAAAUAGGAACUCAUAUAACUAUGGGCAUUAACCGAUUUAACUUCCCUCUAAUUGGAUCAUUUUCCUUUGCAGGAUCUGAAGCUCUUCAAUGGUUUGAAUUUCUAUUUUGCUGGUGAUUUUAUACUGGAGAGGAUGGAAGACUACAAAGAAUUGGUCCUAGCUGCAGGAGGUACUGUUUUCAACAGUAAGGAAGAACUGCUGGAAGCAAGUUGUCAUGAAACGGGUGCUGCUAGGACACUGGUUGUGUACAACCUUGAUCCCCCACCAGGAUGCAAGUUGGGGGAAGAAGUUUCAAUACUUUGGCAAAGGUCUAAUGAGGCACAAGAUAUAGCUGCAAAAAUCGGAGGCGAGUACGUCUUUCACACAUGGUUGUUGGAGUCAAUUGCGAGAUAUGAGUUGCAGCCAAUUGUCUGUUGACAAAAUGCCAUGCAGUCACUGUUUGUUUUCUGAAGUACAGAACAACCAUCCAGUAAAGAUAGGUUGAAGAUGGUAAUCUGUAUCCUUUUGUAUGCUUCAUUAGAUCCAUACUACCUGUGAUGUCAUAUUUUGUAUCAUCACUCGUUUUGUUGUAAUUGUAGUCGAUAAAUUUCAAUUCUAUUGAGCAUCUUUGACAGUUCUAUAUUGUUCAUAGUUCUGUAUAUUCUGAAAUUCACUUCCAAGGUCUCAAAUUCAUACUAAAAUAUUACUGAUAGAAAUGCGAAUAUACAAUACAGUGAUAGACUGAGCGAAACCUAAUUCAUUCUACAUUAUGAAUUCCUUAGCGUCUCAGUACCUUUGGAGCUUAAAGUAGCAUACAGGGGAAGCAGUUAUCAGCUUAUAAGCAAAGGCGAAGUUUUUGACUGUACUGUGCCAUCCAGAGCUGAAAUGCUUUUGUUUGGCAAAGUUUCCAUGGCAAAUUCUCCCUCGGACCGCCUUAAAUCUGCAUUGUAAACAUAGUACUUCGCAACCACGAGAAAGAAGAGGAAGUUGAGAAAGGUCAAGACAGCCAAAAACAGAUAAUAGUAAUCGAAAUGAGAGGUGUUUAGGUUAUCCAAAAUCCAACCCUUGGGUGUAUGUUUCUUGGUGAAGUUGGAAACUGUUGAUAGAAUAAAACUACUGAGGAAGCUCCCAAUUCCCAAGCUAGUAGUGAAAUAUGAGGUCCCCAAGCUUUUCAUGCCCUCUGGUGCUUGAUCAUAGAAGAAUUCAAUCUUGGCUGUUUCCACAAAGGAAUCAGCUAUACCCAUCAAAGCAAACUGAGGUAAGAGAAUGAAAAUUGUGAGUGGAACUAUGUCCUUUUUGCCAAAGAGGUGUUUUUCUUGUAUAACACUCAACCUCUUCCUUUCAGCCAAGCAAGCCGUGAUCAUGGUAAUGGUGUGCAAAACAAGACCAAUGCCCAGUCUCUGCAGCAGUGUGAUCCCUCUUGGGUUUUUGGUGUAUUUCCGGACUGCUGGAACGAAGUAGCGGUCAUAGAGCACAAGGCUUAUCAGCAUGAAGAUUGUUACAAAUGCUGAGAGACAUGCCGGAGGGAUUUCAAAAUCAGGACCCAUCUUUCUGUUUAGUGUUGUGCCUUGCUUGACAAAAAGAGUUCCUAUUUGAGCUAACAUGGUGCUUGGUAUGAAUGAUGCAAUAAGAACCGGAACCAUUUUGACCAUUUGCUUGGUUUGUUCAACUUGUGUCACUGGGCAUAGCAUCCAUGGUAAGGUUGGUCCACUCUUUACUGCUGCUUUGUCUAGGAAUCUGCAAGCAAUGCAGAGUUAGUUGUGAUUUUAGAAUGCUACAAAACAGUGAAACAUUUGAUCGAUCCACAAUUCGACAUUCAGAUAGACUACAUUGUCAGUCACAUCUCUACUAUAGGUCUAUAGGUGAAAUUUACAUCUACGGUUUAGGGUUUUACCUUAAGGAAGAGGAGUGGUCAAUUCUGUAUUUACCAGGUUUUGAGUACUCUUCCAAGCUUAGCUCAUGAAGCUCUUUUAGGUCAUCUGGGACAGUUACCCUCCACUUCCUUAUAGCAGCCACAAGCACAUGAGCUAUUCUGCUGAAAGGACUCUCUGAUGGCAAUUUGUGCCUAUAAAACUUGGUGCCAAAUAAGAAAACCAUGACAGAGAUUGCAAGACCAACUGUUGGAAGACCAUAGCCAAGGGUCCAGCCAACUCUGUCUUGUAUGUAAACCAAGAAUGUGUUUGAGAAAAGGGUGCCAAAGAAUAUGCUGAACAUCCACCAGUUGAAGAAGGAGAGCUUUUGAAUUCUCUCUUUAGGCUCAUAAUCAUCAAAUUGGUCAGCACCCAUGGUUGAUAUGUUAGGCUUGGUGCCUCCAGUUCCAACUGCGAUUAUGUACAAGGCACAGUAGAAUAUACCUACUUGGAACGAUGAGGCUCUUUUGUCACAAUCUUCAAGUUUAACUCCACUGCCGCAUGAUGGUGGUCUUAGGGCGUGUAAUGAAACCGCUAGGGUUAAUAAAGACAUCCCCUAAUAAAUGGUACAAAAGAGCAACACCAUCACUUGAGAGCAGUUACUUGAAGUAAGAAGUGCAUGAAUCAUGUCAUAUCUUUUCUAUAUAUGAAUUAGCGCAUGUAUGAUCAAACUACCAGUAUAGUUCAGCAUGCUAAAGUUCAGCGAAAAAAUUGAAACUUCGAAAGGUAUCCAUGCCAGGCUAAAGUUUAGCAAUCUUCAGACUUUCACUAGUUCUGAUAGUAUUGCAUCCACCGAAGAUUUAACAUGGAUGCCUUCCGAAGUUUCAAGUUUUUCAACAUCCCUCUCUUUGAUCCAAUUUUUACUUCGACCUCGUUGAUACUAGCUUCUUCAGAGUCAGGUUGGGGGUUGUUGUCAAUGGAGGUAACUCAGGUAAGGUUUUAAUACGAAUGGAUAAAGUGGAAAAAACGACUGGAGUUAAAAGUAAAGAAGAGAGCACUAAUGUCAAAGUUGGUGAAAAUCAGGUCAAGACUGGUUAUUUUCAAUCGUGAAGAAUGAAAGGGAGCUAACAACCUAACAGAGACUAAGUUAUCAAACCAUGAACCUUACCAUCUAAACUGAUUUUCAUCAAAAGAGCAAAAGUGAAAGCUAUAGCUUGAGUUACGAAGGGAGUUGCUAAAUUUCAGCAUAUCCGAAAGCUACAUUCUUCAGUGUGAAAAACUAAGCUCAGACCUUUCAACAACCAAGCAUACUACUGACGUACAACCAACUUUUUUUCUUGUUCUUCUAGUUCUAGCUAGCUACGAAAGUUCACUUGGGAAAAAAGAUCCUUAGGUUCAUUCUUGUCCAUUAUACUCCCUAAAAGUAAAAAACUACGUUCUGCAUGGGAUUAACCAUUUAUUUGAUUCUGAACAUGAGGGUUUUAAAGUAGUGAUUUUCUACAACAAUUAACGAUAACAUAUAUGGUCGAAAAUGAAGCCACAAAUGUGAAGUACCACAAGAUAUAUGGCGGAAGCAAUGACAAAAGUCCAGUAUCGGCCAAGAUGAGCAUCUGCAAUAUAAGCACCCAGAAGGGGUGCCAUCCACACCGUCCCAACCCAGUUUGUGACAUUGUUUGAAGAUGUCACUGUGCCUUCAUGCAGCUUCGUCGUCAGAUACACCACCAGAUUUGACGCGAUUCCGUAGUACGCCAUCCUCUCAAACACUUCAUACCCUGUGCAUAACAAGAACUCAUACACAUGCAUGUUAAUUGAAGCCUCUGAGGAAUUUGAGCCAAAAUCAUAUAUUUGUGUAUAUAUAUUGAUUUGAUGAUGACAACGUUGUCCAUACCUACGAUGAAGGAACAAGCUGUCCAUCUGCCAGUGUUUGAUCUCAGAACAGGUCUGCCUUUGAGAUCCACAGUCCCAUCUUGCGUCUGAUCAUCUCUUCCAUAUGCAGAGCCUUUCUCUUCUACCUUUGCCAUGUCAAUGUGUAUGAAAUGAAUAAUACUACUUGCUAGGGAUGACUUGGAAGUUGAAGUUCAUGUGAGCACCACAUAUGGUGUUUUAUAAGUGAUUAACCAAGAAGUUUUCAACUUAAAGUUUCCUCUCGCUUUCUUGCUCACCUGCUUUCUAGCUAGUUUUCUUUUGUUGCUAAAUAGUACGUGCUUCCGUACCCUAAAAACCGUGAUACAUGAGAAAGCUAAUCACGCUCUUUUUAUACGCAACGUUUUGGAGUUAGCUAAAACGUUUUGGAGUUAGCUACUUGGUUUCGUCGGUCAUACGAAACUAACUAAGCAGCAACUAAGCGAGAAUCAUCACACAAUGUGAACAAAUGCAAAGAACGACAAAAUUAGGCCGAAUAUGUAUAUAUAAUUACGAAUUUACUUGAUACUAUUCGUACAAAUUAUAACAUGAUCUUUUUAGAUAAGGAUUUUCUGUUUGUUUUAAUAAGUCUGGAAAACAUAUAUAGAAGAUAAUUUGAAAGUAACUAAUUCAUCUAGAGGGGUGCAAUGCACUGUUUGUUGUCUAAAUGUGCAUGCGCGGAUUGGCUUUUGGGCCUAAAAAGCUAAUACGAUCAAUCGGAGAAGAGGGUGUCAAAGCCUCUAGGACUCCCAGCAGAAUUUUAUUUUUCUCUAAUUACAUAAUAGCUAGCUAGCGGCCGGACUCUAUACUACAACAUACUUAAUUUCUUAUAUACAUACAUACCUAUGCUUACGCCAUAUUUAGGCAAUGCCUAUGUGAUAAUGCCGACCUUGAGCUUGAAUCGUCAUAGUAUCUUCUAAUUUUUCCUGCUUCUGAAUCAAUCGACAUUGAUAAUCAUUCAAAAAAAAAAAACAUUGAUAAUCAUUCAACAAACUGAUGAGCUAGCAGUGAUAGGGAGUGAUGACACAUAUGCUAAAACAAGCCAAAUGAGCCAUGAAACUACAAACUACAAAUUAUCGAAGGAUUUGUUCCUCUCUCUUGGCUCAAGACAUCCUCCUUUUUUUUGUCAAUGUCAUUGUUUAAUUGUUUACUCUUGAAUAUUAUGCCAAGCUUGAUAUAUAAUACUCCACACAAAUUAUACUAUGAUACGAGAGUCAUGAAAACAAGACGAAAAAAAAAAAUAAUCACCUUAAGUCGCCACUUGUCUCUAUCGAUCUAACCUCAUGAUGUUUACUGCUAGCUAGCUACUGUUUUGUUUUGCAUGCAAAUUAACAUUAUAUAUUAGGUUUUUUGUUUUGUUUUUUGUUUUUAAUUAAAUGAGGAUUAGACGAUAUUAGCUCAUCUGCAACGGCCGAUCUGGGGCGACAAGCGCCCUCCCACAAUCCCUAAAGAAACGGGGGCCAUCGCCCGUCCCUCCAUUUAUAUUUAUUAAAGAAAAAUAGAAAAAACAAGAAAGUACAAAAGGAAGGGAAGGGAGACCAAAUUAAAACCUAUAUAUUAGUUAAUUUUGCGUGAAAACACUAUAUAUUAGUUUUUUUUUUAAUUAAAAUAGAGGAUUAGACGAUAUUAGUUCCUCUGCAAAGGCCGAUUUGGGGCAACAAACACCCUCCCACAAUCUCGAAAGAAAGGGAGCCAUCACAUCUGAGAACUCAUCGCCUGUCCCUCCAUUUAUAUUUAUUAAAGAAAAAAUAGAAAAAACAAGUAUAAAAGGAAGGGAAGGGGGACCAAACCAAAACCUAUAUAUUAGUUAAUUUCAUAGGUAUCUAAGUUAGCCGGUUAUGAAUAUAGAAAUUUCCAAAAACUGUUGAAUCGUGUUUCCAGUGUAUUCUAUAUCAACUCGGAUGAUCCUAAAACAAAAAUACAAAUAAGUAAGCGCAAUUUGAUAAAACAAAAGUUAGUUAUGUACGUAUUGGUGACAUUGGCAAAUUAAGGCUUAAAGUCCAAGGAAAACGACCAUAGUUUGUCCAGCAGAAAGCAUCGACUUUCCACCAGAUGAUGAAGACGUUAAUAUUAAUAAUCAGCUCAUUAGGGUUUAGGGGUACUGAACCCCAAUAUAUACUUGAUUGGUUCAAAACUUGCUGUCUCGAAGAUGGGGACAACAGCACAAAGCAUACGAUAGCGAAUAAGCUCAUGUUACACAAGUUCUCAAGGCAUCUUCACAAUGAUAUAUUUACUAAUUCAUUGUUUGCAUAUAUAGGAUUUGUAGGUGGGUACAUAUAUACGAAUUUCAUAUGAUUUGACUUUUGAGUAAAUCGUGAGUUCGUGACUCAAAAUAAGUGAUAUAUGGAAGGUUUCAUCUUGCAUUUAUCAUGCAUGCAUGAAAAACAUUAAUUUUUGAACCCUAGGGUUUCAUACUUUCAUAUGCAUUUUUACACCAUGAAAAUCUUGAUCAGAACAGAGCGACUUAAUUUCUAGCCAAGUAGGGGCAGGCAUAUAUAUAGAAGACUAAAUGUUAUCAGCUCAUAAGUAGACUAUUUGAGGCAUCCUUAUAAGCUUGAGCUGAAUUUUUGCGAGGCAAAGUUUCCACGGCAAAGUCUCCCGUAGAUUCCGUCGUGUCUGCAUUAUAAACAUAGUACUUGGAAAUCACGAGAAAGAAGAGAAAGUUGAGAAAGCUCAAGCAGGCCAAGAACAGAUAGUAGUAGUCUAGAUGUGAGAGGUUUAGGUUAUCCAAAAUCCAACCCCUUUUGGCAUGUUUCUGUUAAGAAUAAGGACUAGAUGAUUCGAUGAUAUCUUGUAUUUAAUAGAGAUUAGCUGUCAAUUGUGAUUUCUUUCCUAGAAUAGUUCCUACAAGUUAGGAUCAUCGUUGUAGCUUCUGUAUAUAUUGGCAUAGCCAUUGAUUGAAUGAUAUACACAAUAUUCAGACUCUUCUCUAUUCUUUUAUGGUACCAGAGCAGCGUUCUUGAGACCUUGAUAUUUCACUCAAACAAUCCUCAUGGCUGGCGAUGAUGAAUCAAAGUCCCCCGAAAUUGUGAAGGGAUCAGAAACUUCCAAAGCUGCAGCACCAUGGGAGAAACUCUAAAUCACCCGCUCUUUCUCCACCAUUCAGACCAACCCGGAGCUAUGUUAGGUUUCUGAACCUCUGGCGGAGGACAACUACUCAACCUGGGCAUCGUCGAUGAUGAUGGCCCUCCAUAUCAAGAACAAGACAGGAUUUGUUGAUGGAACCCUAAAAAGGCCAACUAUCAACGCAGAAGAACGCCUUCAAUGGGACAGAUGCAAUACUCUUGUCAAAACUUGGCUGAUCUCUGCUAUGUCAAAGAACAUGUCCAAAUCUGUAAUCCAUUGCAAGGAGGCUAGAGGUAUGUGGCUAGAACUAGAGGAUCGUUUUAAUCAAACAAAUUCUGCUGCCUUGUUUCACAUAGAAAGCAGUAUACACAAGUGUGAACAGGGAAGCAAUUCGGUCACCACCUUCUACACAAACCUGAAAGGGAUGUGGGAUGAAAAAGAUGCCUUAUGCUCUUUUCCUUCCUGCACCUGUGAAGCAGCUGCUGAGAUUAAGACAUUCAUGGAAACACAAAAGACAAUGAAGUUUCUCAUGGGUUUGAAUGAGAGUUUCGAACAAACCCGUAGCAAUAUAAUUGGAAUGGAUCCUUUGCCAAGCUUGAGCAAGACAUAUGCCAUUGUACUUCGACAGGAAAAGCAAUCGGAAGUUGCAGCAGACAAGGCUACUGCAAUGCCAGAAUCUGCUGCCUUCUCCUUCAAGGGUUUAGGCCGAGAGACAAGUCUCACAGAGAAGGAAGCUGCUGACACCUCCGUCAAUUCUGUUCGGAGAGGAAAUCGAGAUGUCCGUCGCCCAGAAGGAGGAGGCAGGUACUGUGAGAAGUGUGAUAUGACUAAUCACAGUACGAAAUAUUGCAGAGCUCACAUCACAUGUUCUUACUGUGGUAUGAAGGGGCACUCUCAACCAUAUUGUCGAAAAAGAAAGAAUGACAUUACAAAUGGAGGGUUACAGCAGCCUAAAGCGAAUCAUGUUGGUACACAGAAUGGCGUCACAGAAGGGCAAAGCGAUGGUUUUCCUUUCUCAAAACAGGAAUGUCAACUUUUACUUAACAAGCUCAUAGCCAAAUCACAAUCAACUUCUGCCAAUUUGGUCGGUAAUAUUCAAAACUAUGAAGAAUUAUCGGGUAAAGUCCAUCACCUCUCACAAAAUAGCAAUGAGCCUUUCUGGAUUUUAGAUAGUGGUGCCACUGAUCACAUUGUUUGUAGUCCUAAUCUCCUCUCUUCUUAUAAAACAAUUCCUCAUCGUUGGGUCAAACUUCCUGAUGGCACUUCAGUGCGUGUUACACACAUAGGCACUGUCGCUUUUUUCUCCUCAUUUUAUCCUCCAUAAUGUGUUAUGUGUGCCACAAUUUUAUCUCAAUCUCAUAUCAGUAAGCAAACUAGGAUUUGAUUCCCUAUAUGUCACUCUCUUUCUAAGGCAAUUUUGUUUCAUACAGGACCUACGAUCGGGGAGGAUGAUUGGGACAGGAACUGAGCAGGAGGGACUAUACCGCCUCAAUUUCCCAGGGAAAGCAACAUGCAAUGCAGUCCACAUUAAUUCUGAUACUUUGUGGCAUCAACGUCUUGGUCAUCCCUCGCCUAAAGCAUCUUCUUUAUUUCCUUUUCUUUCGAAUAAGUCUUGCGAUACAAACUCAUGUUCUGUUUGUCCUCUUGCUAAGUUAACUCGCAAACCAUUUCCAUUAAGUGUUACUCGUAGUUCUUCCAGUUUUGAUUUGAUUCAUGUUGACAUUUGGGGUAGUUAUAAAGUUCCAACUUAUUCUGGUGCAAAAUAUUUUCUCACUAUUGUUGAUGAUUAUUCACGGAGCACUUGGGUUUAUUUGAUGCAACAUAAGUCUGAAGCACGACCUUUACUCAUCAACUUCAUCCUUUUUGUUGAAACACAAUUUUCCAAGCAUGUCAAGAUGGUUAGGAGUGACAAUGGUGUAGAGUUUAAAAUUCCCAAUUUUUAUUCCUCUCGAGGUAUCGUUCAUCAGACGAGUUGUAUCAACACACCACAACAAAAUGGUGUGGCUGAACGCAAACAUCGUCACUUGCUCAAUGUUGCUAGAGCACUUCUUUUUCAAGCACAUUUGACGAAACCUUUUUGGGGGGAUGCUAUCUUAACCGCCACCUACUUAAUUAAUCGAACUCCGACUCCUAACCUUCAAGGACAAAGUCCAUUCGAAAAACUUUUUGGUCAUCAACCUAGCUAUUCUCAUCUUAAAGUUUUUGGAUGUCAAUGCUUUGUGUCAACGCACCCAUCUCGUCCAUCCAAAUUUGAUCCCAGAUCUGUCGAGUGUAUCUUCCUCGGAUAUCCAAAUGGAAAGAAAGGAUAUAAAGUGUAUAACUUAGUCACCAAGCAGAUUCUAUAUUCAAGAGACGUUGAUUUUCUUGAAGAUGUGUUUCCAUAUCAACACAGAGUGGAGAAGUCUACGCAAAACUCUGAUUCCCUACCUUAUCCAAUUGUUUCAAAAUCCCCACUUUUUGACCUUGAGCCCCAUCCUACAAUCUCUCCAGAAUCUUUUCCUACACUUACUCUAAACAAUUCCAAUUCCACCACCUUACCUCAUUCUUCCGCUGAUGACUCAUUGAAUCCCAUCACCACUAAUUCUCUAUCUUUUUCAUCUCCUCCAUCUUCUCUAACUUUCCCCUCCAACUCACCGUCUACUAUUCCUCUUGAAACGGAGCCCACUCAUUCUUCUCUUGAAACACAACACACUCAUUCAUCUCCAACUGAAGUCCAGAACCCACGUUCUCCUCCUCAACCACCAAUCCGACGUUCUACUCGCACCACAAAGAUUCCUACGGCACUGCAUGACUUUCAUAUUGAGGCGGCCCUGCCAUCUCGUUCAGUCCCCUCAUCCUCUUCGGCCGAGGUCGUCAAUCCUGGUAUGGCUCAUAGUCUCUCUAAUGUUCUCUCUUAUACCCAUCUCUCUAAUCCUCAUCGAGUCUUUACUGCUAACAUUAGUUUGCACAGAGAACCUUCAUCCUUCUCACAAGCAGUAAAAGACCCCAAGUGGAGAGAGGCGAUGCGACUAGAGAUUGAAGCCUUGCAGUCCAACAAAACCUGGAGUUUGGUGGCUCCUCCGGCACACAAACGACCCAUUGGAUGUAAGUGGGUGUACAAGAUCAAGCUCAAUCUAGAUGGCACUAUUGAGCGUUACAAAGCACGCUUAGUGGCCAAGGGAUAUAGCCAAAUUGAGGGACUUGAUUACAGAGAGACGUUCGCUCCUGUUGCCAAACUCACAACAGUCCGUGUCUUAUUAAGCUUGGCUGCACAGCAAAAUUGGCAUCUCCAUCAGUUAGACGUCAACAAUGCCUUCCUCAAUGGUGAUCUUCAUGAGGAUGUUUAUAUGCAAUUGCCACCCGGAUUCGAACGAAAGGGGGAGCAACAUGUUGUCUGUAAGUUACAUAAAUCGUUAUAUGGCCUAAAACAAGCCUCCAGGCAAUGGUUUUUGAAGCUAUCGGCCGCUCUCAAGGCAGCCGGAUUCCGACAAUCAUGGUCCGACUAUUCUUUGUUCGUUCGAAAUCAUCAUGGCACCUUCACUGCUCUUUUAGUCUACGUGGAUGAUGUGAUUCUCGCCGGGAAUAGCUUAGAUGACAUCACAAGAACUAAAGCCUUCUUGUCAAGCCGAUUCAAGUUGAAGGAUAUGGGAAAAUUAAAGUAUUUUCUUGGAUUAGAGGUGGCACGGUCAAAACAAGGUAUUGCAUUAAGCCAGCGUAAAUACGCACUUGAAAUUUUGGAGGAUGCAGGAUUUUUGGGAGCCAAGCCUUCACGGUUCCCUGUUGAGCAGAAUAUAUGUCUUACGCAAAGUGAUGGAAAAUUGCUGCAUGAUGCGUCAAGAUACAGAAGACUAGUUGGGCGCCUCAUCUACCUUACCAUCACAAGGCCUGACCUUGUAUAUGCAGUACAUACUCUUAGUCAGUUUAUGGACAAACCGAGAGAGCCUCACUUGGAGGCAGCUUAUCAGGUAUUGAGAUACUUGAAACAGACUCCAGGACAAUGUAUCCUCCUACCUUCUAGUGGAUCUUUAGAGCUAACGGCAUAUUGUGAUGCGGAUUGGGCAAGGUGUAAGGAUACGAGAAGAUCAACUACGGGAUAUUGUAUCUUUCUUGGAAAUGCUCCAAUUUCAUGGAAGACAAAGAAACAAAGCACGGUCUCUCGUUCAAGUGCUGAGGCUGAGUAUCGCUCCAUGGCAACAACUUGCUGUGAGGUAACAUGGUUGUUAUAUAUUUUACGUGAUUUGAAUGUUAGACAAGUACGACCAGUGAAUUUAUAUUGUGAUAACAAGGCGGCAAUUCACAUAGCUUCUAAUCCUGUGUUUCAUGAGAGAACAAAGCAUAUCGAGAUUGAUUGUCAUGUGGUGAGGGAAAAAGUGCAAAGGGGAAUGAUAAAGACACAGUAUGUUAAGACGCAGGAACAGCCGGCAGACAUCUUCACGAAGCCUCUGAGCUCGAAUCAAUUUGCAAUGUUGUUAAGCAAGUUGGGAGUGAUCAAUAUCCACUCCAACUUGAGGGGGAGUGUUAAGAAUAAGGACUAGAUGAUUCGAUGAUAUCUUGUAUUUAAUAGAGAUUAGCUGUCAAUUGUGAUUUCUUUCCUAGAAUAGUUCCUACAAGUUAGGAUCAUCGUUGUAGCUUCUGUAUAUAUUGGCAUAGCCAUUGAUUGAAUGAUAUACACAAUAUUCAGACUCUUCUCUAUUCUUUUAGUUUCUUUGUGAACUCUGCAACUGUUUUGAGAAGAAAACUACUGAGGAAACUCCCAAUUCCCAAGCUAGUAGUGAAGUACGAGGUCCCCAAGCUCUUCAUACCUUGUGGUGCUUGGUCAUAGAAAAACUCUAUCUUUGCGACUUCCACAAAGGUGUCAGCAAUCCCUGCCAAAGCAAAUUGAGGCAAGAGAAUGAAAAUUGUGAGAGGAACUGUGUCCCUUUUCCCAAACAGUUUAUGUUCUUGUAUAACACUCAGCCUUCGUCUUUCGGCGAAGAAGGCAGUCAUCAAGAUAAUGAUGUGCAACACUAGGCCAAUGCCUAGUCUCUGCAGCAGUGUGAUCCCUCUAGGGUUUUUCGUAUAUUUGCGCAUAACAGGAACAAAGUAGCGAUCGUAGAGCACAAGGCUUAUCAGCAUGAAUAUUGUUACAAAUGCUGAGAGACAUGCUGGAGGGAUAUCAAAAUGUGGUCCGAUGCUUCUAUCUAGUGUAGUUCCUUGUUUGACAAAGAGUGUUCCUCCUUGAGCUAACAUCAUGCUUGGUAAAAAUGUUGCAAUCAAAAUUGGAACCAUUUUGAUCAUUUGCUUGGUUUCUUCGACUUGGGUCACUGGACAUAGCAUCCAUGGUGUGGUCGGUCCACUCUUUACAGCUGCUUUGUCAAGAAACCUGCAGAUAAUUCAGUGCUAGUUUGAUUAGGGUAUAUAUUAGUAUCAAUUAUCAAAUAAUUUGUACAUGGAAAUCUCGGGUUAAAAUUUUAGGGUUCAUGGAAAUUUACCCUAAUGAAGUGGAGUGAUCAAUUCUGACUUUCUCUGAGUUUGUAUACUCCUCCAAGCUCAGCUCAUGAAGCUCCUUUGGGUCAUCUGGGAUAGGAACCCUCCAUUUUCUUAUAUAUGCCACAAGAACAUGAGCUAUCCUACUGAAGGGACUUCCUGAAGGCAAUUUGUGCCUAUAAAACUUGGUACCCGUCAAAAACACCAAAAUGGAAAACGCAAGGCCAAUUGUUGGAAGACCAUAGCCAAGUGCCCACCCCACAUUGUCUUGAAUGUAAAUCAAGAUGGUGUUUGAGAAGAGUGUGCCAAAGAAGAUGCUGAACAUCCACCAGUUGAAGAAGGAGAGUUUUUGGGUCUUUUCUUUAGGCUCAAACUCAUCAAACUGGUCGGCACCCAUGGUCGAGAUGUUUGGCUUGGUGCCACCAGUUCCGAGUGCAAUGAUGUACAGUCCACAGUAGAAUAUUGCCACUUGGAAUGGGGUGGCUCUUCUCUCACAAUCUUCAAGUUUAAUUCCGUGGUCGCAUGAUGGUGGUCUUAGGGCAGGGAGGGAAACUGCUAGCGUCAGUAGGGACAUUCCCUAAAGGAUAACAAAGCUCUUGGUCAUUACAAUUAUAGGGCACAGAUGUAUACGCAUGCAUUCCGUCCAAUUAGUCUAUUGUAUACGCAUACAAAGAAUAUCAUAGGUUGAUGUUGAUCUCACUAACAUAAGUCAUUAUGUUUCAAUAAGAUCCAUCCGCUAUUAAUUACUCAACACAGACCUCCAGAAAUUGCAUAAAACCAUUUCAACAUAUCGUAUAUAAAUCUCAUUCAUUAUACUUUAUAUAUCUCUAUUAAUAAAGCCAGAAGGUUUAUUUGACUUUGUUAACGGUUAAAUUUUUAAACUACCUAUAAUGCCUUUGAUUGAUUAAAACUUUAAAAUCUGUCUUCUAACAGAUGAAGGACAAAUUAGUAAUUGCAAAUGUUGGAAACAAGAAAAAAAAAGAAGCUUAAAACGUGGGAGGUGGGAGAGAAAUAAGACUUUGAACAUAAUUGUAAUAGUAAAAAAAAAUCACACACACACAUAGUGCGGGUCAAGAUGCUAAUGAUCGGAUUAAGCCAUUAAGGCUAAGCUUAUUUUCUAGAAUUUCGAUCCGGAUCCUAAAAUACUCGUGACAUGUUUUGAAUGAUUCUUUUAGUUAAAAGGUUUAACUUUAUAUAUUAAAUCUCUCUGAAGAAUAUGUCCGGUAUAUUAUAAAUUUACAAGUUUGAAACAAGCUAGUACUUUCAUAAAAACUUCCGUCUUAUAGUACAUUCUGAGAUCGAUAGUUAACACUCGAAGAGGUAACCUAAAGUUGUGGUGACGACAAUCAAACAUUGUAUAUAUACAGUUUCAUAACUUGUCUACAAUACUCUCAUCUUUUGCACACCAUUGGAGUGCGAUCGUUAAGAGGCAGCAAGUACUUUUCAUAUUUUUAUGUUAUAUGAACUACAAAAAGGCUUGUAAUGUAUGAUCAAACUACUAGCAUCUGGAUUAAUUAAGAACUCUUCGAUCGGAUGGGGGGUGGGUGGCCAACUUUGAAAGAACAAAUUAUGAAGGUCAUUACGAAGAUAAUUAGAUGCAGAAACCAUUUGCAUAGAUCAUUAUGUUAAAUAAAAUUAUAAUCUUAUAUGUGCAAUGCAAAUAAACACAUAAUUGUUUGACGAGAGUGAUGAUGAAUUAAUACCACAAGAUAUAUGGCGGAGGCAAUGACGAAAGUCCAGUAUCGGCCGAGAUGAGCAUCUGCAAUAUAUGCUCCCAAAAGGGGUGUCAUCCACACCGUCCCAACCCAGUUUGUGACAUUGUUUGAAGAUGUCACUGUGCCUUCAUGCAGCUUCGUCGUCAGAUACACCACCAGAUUUGACGCAAUUCCGUAAUAUGCCAUCCUCUCAAACACUUCAUACCCUACACAUCCAUGUAUACAUAUUACAUUGAACAUCAUAACAACAACAUCCUUUACGCGUGAGAUCGAAUAACUGAAAUGGAGUUGGAACUUGAGACAGAUCGGAGGAUAUCGAUGCGCAUUACGUACCUACAAUGAAGGAACAAGCUCUCCAUCUGCCAGUGUUUGAUCUGAAAACAGGUCUCCCUUGGAGGUCGACAGUCCCAUCUCGUGUGUAGUCCUCUGCUCCAUAUGCAGCUCCUUUCUCCUCGACCUUUUCCAUAUCACUAUUUCAAUUAGGAAACAGAUCGAAUAGUAUUUACUAUUAGCUACCUAGCUAGGGCGUUGAAACUCAUGUUAUCACCUGCCUGAUAAUGCUUUUUAUAAGGCGUCGGAAGUAAUACAGGUUAAGUUAGUUAACCAAGGACCAUAAAACUUUAACUCUAAUCUUGAAGACGUUCCUUUUGGUUUCUUGCUCACUUGCUUUUUAUGGAUGAUUUGAAGUAUGGGAAUAUUGGUAUCAUAAACACUUACGUCCAAGGUUUUUGUUCUAUUCGGUAAGCAUCAAGAAAAUAUCGCAUUUUUGAGGCUACGUAGUAGUACCCUUUAUUUUAUCUUAGAUCUAAGAUCCUUCAUACAAGAAUCAUUUCUGCUAAUUAACCCAAAAUUAACAAAAACAAAACUUGUAUGUUAAGCUAUUCAAUUAUAUUUCUCUACUCAAAUACGUACGUAGAGUUUACUUAUGGAAAUGAAGCUCGAACGAAUUCUCUCAAGACUGAUUUUUUUUAUUUUUAUUUUUUUUUAUCCUUUUGUGUUCUUAUACGAUCUUCGAUUAUCUUGCCAAACUAGCUAUGUCCAAAUGCCGAACUCUAGGUUCCCUUUUGGCCUUUUGUUAUCUACUAUUAUUUCUUGAUGAGUAGGGUUGAUAUAUACUAAUUAAUAAGUGAGCAGUGAUCGAGUGAAGUUGACACCUCUACUAUGACAAGCUAUGAACUAAAAUCAUUGAACGUCUCUUGGCUCAAGAGGUCGAUCUCCUUGUCAAUCUCAUAUAUUCUCUUGUCCGGAAAAGGAUUUUAAGCUUGAUACGCCUUUGCGCAGUGACAAACUUACAAUGACAAAGUUAAGAAGAAGGAAGAAAAGGUCAUCAUCACCUUUGCCCUUUGUAUAUACUUUCAUUACAAGAUUUAUAACUCGAAAGCUAGCUCUCAUGCUUUGUCACUGCGCAUACUAUUGGUGUUUGAUAUCUAUGGAAUAAUAUAUCUUAAAUUAUGGAAUCUAAUUAGUAUCCUUAACCCACAUUUGUGGAACUUAUAAGUUAGCCGGUCAUGGAUAUGUGAGUACCAAAAGAAAUAGAAAGCAGAAAGAUUCUGAGUGAAUUAUCAGCACCUUGAUUUUCUGUGCGGCAACAUAAGCUAUGUUAAGAUUAAUGAACAAAAUUUAAAAGGAAACAUACAAAUCUGCAGAACUAAUCUUUGGGUUCAGGGUAUAGAUUAAAAUGAAAAUAAUCUUUUGGUUCGUUAAGAAAAGAAAGUCAAGACAUGCACAGUGUUGGGUAGUUACCCUAACCUCAGUCAGAUUAUCACUUUUUUUUGUUUGGGAAAAUUUUAAGAAUAAUACAUGACAAAUGAUCGACUCUAAUUAAGAGUAAUAUAGUUUAUGUAAUAUCAAAUUGGUACAUGACGUAUUAAACCUGACCUAAUAUCAAUACAUAUCGUUAACUCUUCUGUUACCUUCAGAGUUUCUGUCAAAUUUGCAGGGGUAAAUCUGUCAAAUCUAGCUACUUCCCCAUCAAGCUCUAUCUGAAUCCAAACACUUCUCUGGAUUCCUUCUCUUCAAUUCAGCAGCAUAUGACUCAAGCAGGUUGUAUUGAUCUUCAUUAGCCCCUAGCCUUAUGCCAUCUUUUUGGCCAUUGCCUUAGCUCUAUAAGCUAGUUGGUAUCCAAUAUCCAUGCCAAAGUCUCUAUUGACAACAUUUUGGAUUCCUUCUCUUGACCAUUUUCCAUCAGCAAGAAAAACAUCAUUGUAUUCAACAGCCAAAAAUGGGGCAUUAUAAUGGUAGACUCUCUUUCCAAUGGAACUGCACUUGUGCUCAGACUUGAAUGUUCGGAUUUGAAGAGUUGGAUUAUCAUUACUAGGACUGCUUGCAUAUAUCCAAAAUGGACAAUCUGGAGAGGUUUUACAUCUGGCCAUGCCAACACCUGGUGCUUGGUGUUUCUAGGAAACCUGAGCUCCUUCUUGGUUAGCACUCCAUGUUUCCUAAUAGCAUGCUUCAAAACUGAAGAGUUAGGAAAAACCAUUCCAAGACAGAACCUUGGAUUCUUCAUAUCAGUCUUUCGAUUUAACUCAACCCACUUAGAGAACCUCUUCUUACCCUUUACUUUAAAAGGCCCUACAUCUUCACCCUCACUGUCAAAGUCAUGGACACUUUGAAAUCCAUCUGAAUCUGCAGCUUCUUCAUCACUUAUAUUGUCAUUAUAGCCUAUUUCUUCAAACUUGCUACUUCAUCAGGUGCACCAUCAAUAUUAGAAUAAAACUGAACUUCAUCAUCUUCUUCAUGCAACUCAAAGUCACUAUCGACUAUGGCAUCAUAGUCUGCAUCCUCUGAAUCAUCACUUUUCUCACUAUUCUCAAUUGUUUGGAUUGAGAGGGAAUUGAAGAGAAGGAAUCCAGGGACAAGUGUUUGGAUUUAGACAGAGUUUGAUGGGGAAGUACCUAUAUUUGACAGGUUUACCCCUGCAAAUUUGACAGAAAACUCUGAAGCUAACAGAGGAGUUAAUGAUAUGUAUUGAUAUUGGGUCAGGUUUAAUACGUCAUGUACCGAUUUGAUAUUACAUAAACUAUACUACCCUUAAUUAAGAGUCGAUCAUUUGUCGUGUAUCAUUCUUAAAAUUUUUUCUUUUUGUUUACUCGAUCAGUGGAACAAACCCGCUUUUUUACAUCGACGUUUGACGAACUACAUUAACCAAAGGAAACAAUGAGAAGAAAUAUCAUGUAUAGUUUCAAAUAAAAAACAAGUACUGAUGAUUCAAAGAUAUUAUGAAUAUGAAGAUACUACAAAUAUCGAAUGUGUGAGUGUGACAAGUGAUGUUGCAUUGUUUGUAGAUGACCAUUGUUCAGUAUCAGUUUCGGUUUCAGAUUGUGCUAAUUAGACUCGAACAAAAUUGCAUAUGCUUGGCACCAAUGAGUUUUCUAUUGAUUUGAGAGAGAAAAGAUAACUAUGGCGUCACAUUAUUUAUAUGAAAUAUGAAUUUUGAGUAAUAACUGACACUUUGAAUUUGAUAUGAGAAAUGUUUGUAAAUUUUUUUAGAUAGUUUCUUCUAUUUGAUGCUAUAAAUUUUCGCAUAUCAUCGUCCAGUUCAUACAUACCUCAGCUGAAGAUUGUUGAAUGAUGUUUCUUUGGUCUUUUUUAUGUCAUUUGAGAGAAUGUUGAAUGGGGUCAUGAGAGUUCAACGUACAUUAGAUUGAAAAUUACAAUAUUUUACUAACAACGUUUUCCUUCUUACACCAUACAAACCACAUAAACCCUCAUAUAUUCUUAAUCUUUUAUUCAUUAUCAAUCCCUAGAGUUUCUUCUUUAGCAUUCACAAUCUUCAAUGGUUUUUAUAUGAUGCAAACUUUUAUGCCGCAAAUAUAUAGCAUAUUAACACUUCUGGAGUCAGGAAACACCAACUUAGAGUUAAAAUAAGGUAAAUUAACGAUAUCCCAAGAAAGUUAGGGAUAUUGAUGCUAAAAGUGCAAAAACAACAUUCUAAGAUUUUAUGUUUAUGAAAUGUUAAAGUGAAACAAUAGUUUAAGUCUAAGCGGUUCAUAAUACUAGAUAGCUCAAACAUAAAUGAAAGUGAUCCUUGUUUGUUUUUUAAGAAGAAAGAAAGAAAUUAAGAAAGAUACAUUCUCAAAUUGGCUAAAGGUGCUUGCCUCUUGCUACAUAUACUGUAAUUGAAAGCGUUCCUUUAAUUUUCAACUCAAAAAGUUUGCGCUUGUAUCUGUUACAAAGAUGUCACUUUUCCAUUAGAAAGAAUUUUUGAUUGCAAGAGCCGUGAUGGCGCCUUGUUGUCUUUUUCUCGAUAACAAUACCAACCCUUUCAAACACCCUCAGAAUAAGCUGUGUUGAAGCUCAAAGUGUUUUCCUCACAAAUGAGGCUCACAAGUCGUUCACACUUAAUGAGAAACUUUAAGCAAUAAUGUUUCAAUUUGUAUACACACUCAAAUACUCAGAGUUCAGGAAAACCCAUACCUUUAUUACUUCUCACACUUCACAAAUGAUACUUAUGCUUGGAUCUCAACAACGAACUCCGAACUUCGAAGUUAUUCGAGUCUUAAGUACACACUACUUUUUCUAGUGAGCAGUAUACUCUCGGAAGUUGUGUCACAAGACCGACUGCCCGUAGGUACGUGUGUCACAAGACCACGAUUUUAGGGAGUGUAAAUUUCAUUACCUAUAAUUUUUUUUGUUGUGAGUAAUAAAUGCAGGAAAAAAAGUAAGAAAUUAAGUGAUUCAUUUGGAUUUUGAAAGUACUAUUUUCCCCCUAUUUUCCUUUUAAUAAGAAAAGUAUUUAAUUUCCUUUUGCUUCCUCAAAUGCAGGAAAUGAACAACUUUCAUUUCUUGACACUUACUUUCACUUUUCGCGAACCAAACGAUCUGACUGAAAAUUACGAGAGUUUAUAAGGGUUUCUUUAUGCAAUUACAACAAAAAUACAAUUGACUGAAAGUUAUCAUGAUCGAAUUAAUGAGAUAUAAUUUUAUUUCGAGUUCUUAACUAAGAUGCAAGGAAUUAAUUAAGAUACAUGCAAAAAGUUCUCAUCAGCUAAACCAGAUCUGUCUUCACAUCUUAGAUGAAGCUAGCCAUAUAUCUUUGGCAAAUCAAGCUUCCAUAGCUAUCUUGGCUUCCGAGAUGUCAACAUUAUAAGCAAAAAACUUUGCUACAACCAAAAAGAACAAGAAAUUAAGAAACACCAAACCAGCCACCAAUGCAUAGUAGUAGUCUAAGUGUGACGCAUUCAAAUUGUCCAAGACCCAACCUUUGUGGCUAUUUCUCUUAGUGACAUCAGAAACUGUUUUCAGAAGAACACUACUGAGGAAACUCCCAACUGCAUAGCUGCUAGUGUAGUGAUGUCCCCAUGCUCUUCAUGCCCUUGUGGUGCUUGGUCGUAGAAGAACUCUAUCUUUGCAACUUCCCCAAACGCAUCAGCCACACCCAUCAGAGCAAACUGAGGCAGCAGAAUGAAUAUUGUGAGUGGAACUUUCUCUCCUUUCCCAACAAUGCCGUUUUCCCUUGCGAUGAGAGGUCGUUUCUUCUCAACCGAGCAAGCAAGGACCAUGAUCACUAUCUGCAUCACAAACCCUAUUCCCAUUCUUUUGAGCAAUGUGAUUCCUAUAGGGUUUUGGGUGUAACGCCGGAGUGUUGGAACCAAGAAGCGGUCGUAGAUUGCGAGGGUUACCAGCAGGAAAAUGGUUAUGAAGGCUCCGAAAGAUGCAGGUGGGAUUUUGAAAUGGGGACCUAUGGAAUCAUCAAGAGUGGUGCCUUGCUUUAUGAAAAGUGUGUGGGAUUGAGUUAUGGUAAUGGAGGGUAUGAAUGUGGUGAGUAAAACUGGAAUCAUCUUCAUCAUUUGCUUGGUUUCUUCUACUUGGGUCACUGGACAAAGAGUCCAUGGUGUGCUUGGCCCAGGAGUUUUCACUGCAGCUCGGUCAAGGAUCGAACCUUAAUGAGGAGGUGUGGUCAAUUCUGUGUUUCAUUGCAUCUGCAGGUUCAUCCAAGCUUGGUUGAUCAUGAAGCUCUUUGGGGUCAUUUGGAAUAUUCACAUUCCAAGUACCUGAGCAACCCUUGUAAUAGGACUCCCUGAAGGCAUUUUGUGCCUGUAAAAUGGGGUGCCGACCAAGAAUUCUAACACUGAGAUCACAAGCCCUAUUGUUGGGAGUCCAUAGCCAAGUGACCAACCGACGUUGUCUUGUAUGUACACCAAGAAAGUGUAAGAAAAGUAGUUACCAAAAGCUAUGCAAAACAUCCACCAUUGAAGGAGGAGAGCUUCUGAUGCUUCUCCUUUGACUCAAAACUGUCAAAUUAAAUAAUUAAUUGGUCUGCCCCCAUGGUUGAGAUGCAGGAUUUUGUUCCACCAGUUCCAACUGCCAUCAUGUACAAUGCACAAUAGAAAAUCCCUACUUGGAAUGACGAAGCUCUUAAUAGUUCUCUUUAAUUUCAGGGCCGCAAGAUGGUGGUCUCAGGGCUGGCACUGAUACUGCUAGGGUUAGUAGUGACAUUCCCUCUGGAAUUGCAAUGCCAAUUUGAAUCAGUAAUUAUCAAAUUUUGGUUUUAUUUUAGAUUUUGUUCUUGCAGUUAUAUAUUCUGAAAGGGAAGGCAACAAGGAACUAAGUUUUUUACCAUUAUAUAUAUGGCUGAUGCAGAAACAAAGGUCCAAAAUAUCGGCCAAGAGCCCAAGAUAUGUAUCUGGCUAUCUGCAACAUAAGCACCUAAUAUCGGCGUGAGCCGUAUUGUACCAGUCAGUUGGUGACAUUGUUUGAAGACUUCACAGUGCCUUCAUGGAGCUUCCUUGCCAAAUACACCACUAGGUUUGCUGAAAUCCCAUGAUUUGCCAUCCUCUACUAAAUUNUUCACUACCUANAUAUAUAUAUAUAUAUAUAUAUAUAUAUAUAUNNNNNNNNNNNNNNNNNNNNACCUACAUAUAUAUAUAUAUAUAUAUAUAUAUAUAUAUAUGCAUACCAUUAACAAGUUUCUUUAUCUAGCUAGCUAGCUUCAUCAUUCUUCUUUAAGUUCUUCCAAAUAAGGGUACAUGCACCGAGGAAUAUUCAUUCAUCGAAUUGAAAAAAUUGGGAAGCUAAGUACUUAUCUACAAUGAAAGAGCAAGCUCUCCAUCUUCCAGUCUUUGAUCUUGUAAUCGGUCUACCUUUGAGGUCUGUAGUCCCAUCUUCUGUGUAAUCCAGUAGUCCAGCAUUUUCAAGGCCUUUCUCCUCUACUUUUGCCAUAAGGUUGGAGCUAGCUAGCUAUAGUUAGAGGCAAAAGACACUUGAAGUCUAGCUGGCUGGGAUAUUGAUAUGAUUAAUCUGCUGCAUAUAUAGAGACUUGUAAAAUGAUUUGGUCAGAUAAACAAAUUAUCUAAGGUUGCCCUUUCAUCUUCAAAAAAUUAUUCCAUGCAUGGCUGGUGAGAGGACUGACAAUGAAAAGUUUAAGAAAGGUUGCUGUGUUAGAGUUUAUAACUCUGGCGAACGUGAACGUGCAAUCACAAAUUCCAUUACUGAAAGGGAUAUGAAAUUAUGAAUCAUAUAUAUGAUCACUUUUAGAACGCAAUUCGAAAUCCUAUUUUCAUUUAUUUCUUUCUUAUCUCCUAAGUUUCACAUCCAGAUCGCAAUUCGAAUCUACAUUUCAAAGCAUGCUUAGCUGCAUAAUGUGACACGGUUUUACAGCAGAAGAAGAUAAUAACAGAAAAAAAUUGUCUCACUUGGAUGUCUAUUUGAGAAGCAAUGUUGAGUAGAUUGUACGUACGAUCACACUGCACAGGCUACGUUUGCAUAGUUGAUCGUUAUUCGACUAUAGAAGUAUAUUUAUGUUUUCCUGAUAACCAAUGAACAGAAGUUGUCACUACAUGUUACAGUAGUGCAGAAACCUUAAUCAAACCAGUGUAUGCAAUUGAGUCGGCAGAAAUAGGACUUUCCACCAAAAAGUUGGUGGGAAUACUCCAUUGGAAGAACGAAGACCUAUUCGAAAUCUAGUUAUAAUCAUUGUUGUAUGAAAAUAUCUCAUUGAGGAGCUUCUAAUGAGGAGCUGCUAAUGAGGACCUUAAAACCUAAAUGAAUCGUUUAAUUACAACAUCUAUUAUUCUAUUUAACUCUGGAGAGUGAAGUUGGAGGAAGUAUUAAUUUUUCCUUUCUCAUAUAUUGCGGUGUUUCUGUUUAACAAAAGAACGUUUGGUAACCCAACAAAUCCAACCAGUAUGGAAUCAACUCAAUGAAGUCAAAGCAGCAAUAAGAGAACAAUCAUCAUGAAAUGAAAUGAUUCGAAUAGUCAAUACACCACACUAGGAUCGAAAUGAGAGUGUGAAGUUGAAGUUUAUGUCACUAGCACUCAGACGAGGCUUCCAACUAUUCCACUAUGGCUUCGUCUUCCUGUGUGGGAAACUCGGUGGUUGUGGGUUCAGGCAAGCAUGUGGGUUGAUAUGGAGUUUGAGGGAAACAGCUAACUGAACCCUAGCUUCUCUUCUCCUUACAAAAUGCUUGAGCAUGUAUGGAAUAUCAAUGGUACAGGACUACGAUUUCACUUCACAGGACUGAAAGGGAUACCGAGGCCAUAGAUAUUAUCUGACUAGUAAUCAAUCUGAUGUCUACUGCUCCAGUGCCACACGCAUAUGCAACAUUUGAAGCAUAAAUGAAACAGUAGGGCUAUCAUUUUCACGCAUUUUGAAUCAAAACUGGGACCUUUCUAAAAUAUUCAUACCAAAACUAGUCGCAUACCAAGUCGCAUACAGUACAUAAUAACAAGUCGCAUACCAAAACUAUAGCUGCUAUAUCAACAUUCUGAACCCAAGAUGGCAAUAAAACGCACUGCACAACACCCUGAUGACCUCAAUAAUUAAGUUCAAGCAACAUAUACUACAUAUAAACUUUGCAUUCCAACUUUUCCAAUAUCAUAAUAUAGAGAAUCACUCAUGAACAGAGGAUGCAAAUCCAGAAGCCUUUAUAAAAAAUGUCAGGUCCAUUAGCUAUGCCCCAUAUCAGUGAUUAAGCACAAUAUAUCCACACAUAUUUCUAAGUGCCUCACUAGAUUCCUCUCUCUGUUCAAUAACCAGAAUUGCAACAUCCCAGUUGCUUGAAAGGAUAAAGCAUAAACUCCUAGCACUAGUCCAGAUAGCAACACCAAAUUGCUAGCACACUGCAACUAUCGCUAUUAACCAACAAUGAUGUAUACACAUUCAAUAAGCAUGAAGAACCCAGACAGUAACAUCAAACUUCUAGAACAGUAACUAAAUGACAUUAACGCAGCACCAACAAUAAUCUAUCAUCAUUAUCCACAAUGAUAACUUGAAUAGAAAUAUCUAGUGAAAACAACAGGGGGAAGGAGAAUAGAAUGAGGAUGAGGAUAGCUCCAAAAUUAGCAAGCACACACACAGUCUAAGCAAGCUAAUAUUAAAUUCUACAAUAUUAAAGAAAUUUUACUAAAAAUAAUACUGCUAGAAUGUAAUGGUCGUGAUUUCUAGCAGAACUACUUCUGCCAACUACCAUCAAGAAUCAACUGAUUGAACAAGCCCAAAUAUUCAUUGUCAACUCUUGUCAUGCAUAAGUUUAGACUGGGUAAAAGAUCAUGUGUAAGGAUUCCUGUGAAAGAAAUUCUAACUCUGUUGGAGCUCUGCUGUUAUGUCUGCCUGGACUGAGAACUACCAUAACCACCACUGGCUUGUGAAGGGUCUGCUCUCCAUGCUGCAUUAGAGUAUCCUGCAUUUCCAUUUGUGUCACCAUAUGCACUUCCCAUGUAGCCACCUCGUGUUCCUUGUUGCUCUCCACCACCACUGUUACCAGUUGGGGUGCUUCCACCACGCCCCCCAGAAGUCCCAUACACACCAGGAUAAGAACCGUAACUUCCUCCAUAAUUGCCAUACCCAUAACCUUGAUUUCCAUAACCAGAAACCGCACUAGGCGAUUGACCUCUGGGAGCAGAAGGAGCACUUCCACCUGGAGCAGCCCAGGAAGCUGCAGCCGCAUAGCCGCCUGAAGCACCAUAGCCAGAGGGGCUUUGGCUGCUCCAAGCAUUUUUCAAUGCACCGGGUGCCCCACUAACAUAACCAGCAGGGGAAUUUGGAUUUCCAUAUGAUCCUGCAGGACCACCAAAGCCAGAAGUGGCACUUCCAUAACCACCAACACCAUAACUUCCAUAACCUCCAUAACCAACACCAGUAUUUCCACCGUAACCAUAACCUGCAGCACCAUAACCAGAAUACGGAGGGAAACCACCUGCCGUAGACUGAGGCUGCAUAUAUCUAUUGCCAUCCAUUCGGCCAUCAAAUGCAUUUGAACUGGCUCCCGAGGCACUAUAACCUUGAUAGCCCCCACCACGACCUCCACCGCCAGGAUUUGCAUCUUUGGGAAGUGCUCGUUUUACUUCUACAAGUUUACCAUUCAACUCAUGGAAGUUCUUUUGUAGUACUCUAUCAACUGCAUCUUCAGUGUCAAAAGUUAUGAAACCAAAUCCUCGAGGCCGUUGAGUGUUCUGGUCAUACAUUAUUACUACAUCAGUAACACUGCCGUACUCUUCAAAGAAUUGACGAAAUCCAUCUUCUGUCAGUGUGGAAGGCAAUCCUCCAACAAAUAUUUUCUUAGUCUUAAAAUUUCCUCCACCUCCGGAGCUUCUAGUGGCAUUAAAAUUUCCAGUUCGAUUGGAUGUUUGCUGCUCUUCUCUUGACAAAGCCUUUUUUGCUUCCACCUGCAUAGUCAAAGUGGUACAUUUAAACAAUCUAAGGGACAAACUAAUGUUUAUUCAAGACAAAGUAAAGAUAUAUGAAAGUGUCACAGGUUUAAUUUUACUGAGAAAGAACACAAGAAAAUGCAUGUGAUUGAUCUAGGUCAUAUGAAAAACAAAAGUCUCGAAUAUAAAUCAACUCAAACUAUAUAGAACCUAGCAAAACAACUACUUUCUGUAACAGCUAGAACGAAAUCUGCACACAGAAUCUGAUCGUUCAAGUGCUGAAUUAGGAAAGUCUUACAUCUACAAUGUGCAUAUUAAAAGGAAUUCAAGAAAUAUGCACACUUUCACUAAAUACACCAACAGACACAUUAGGAUUGAAGGUUCAAGCUUUUGUCUAUCCAAGUGCUGAUUGCACGAUUUCCCAGAAGCAACCUAUAUGUAUGACUUCUCAUCAACUAACAGAUCAAGAAUCUGUUACUCGAAACAACAAUGCAACAAUCUGUUACUCGAAAUGACAAUACAACCCCGUGAACCUGAAAUAACCAUUGCACAAAAGCAAUGCAAUUCUAUCACUACACAAGUUGAAUUGCAAAUUGAAAUCAACAGCCGAAGCUACGAACAUAAAUUAACCACAGUUCAGCCCAAAAAUUCAAUACUUUCCCUAAUUCUACAGUUCCUCAGUCACCAGAUGCAAAAUGCAAGAACACUCAAAACAAAGCUUCCACAUCAAAAUUGACAUCUACCAUAGUCAAGCCCAUAGCUUAAAACACCAACACAAGCUCUCUGAAUCAAAAUCAAAAGCACUAAGCAAUCAAGCAACGAGGCAAUGCAGGCGAAAUAGGCGUGAGAGAAGAAAGAGGAGAGGACUGACCACACGGCCGUCGAUGGUGUGCUUGUCGUUGAGGACCCUAUCGAGGACGGCGGGAUCAGAGAAGACGACGAAGCCGAAGCCGCGGGGGCGGCCGGUGAUCUUGUCGCGCAUGAUGACGGCCUGGCUGACGUCACCGUACUGGUUGAAGUAGUCGGUGAGCUUCUCCUCGGUGGUGUCCCAGGCCAGUCCGCCUAUGAAGAGCUUGCUCUCGUCGGAGUCCAUGGCGGCUCUCUCUGAAACUGAGAGAGAGAGAGAGAGAGAGAGAGAGAGAGAGAGAGAGAGAAGGANNNNNNNNNNNNNNNNNNNNGAAGGGCUAGUGCCCUAGGGUUUGUUUGAAAACGACACCGGAUCGAGCACGUGACAAAGGGAAUAUAUAACUAACUGAAAGGGAUUCCCCAAAUUGCCCUUGGAUAAAUCGACCUGUUUGGUCAGUGUGAACAGCACGGGGUGGUGGCGCAGUUGGCUAGCGCGUAGGUCUCAUAGCUAAAGAAAUUAUGUGAGUGAUCCUGAGGUCGAGAGUUCGAGCCUCUCUCACCCCAAUUCUUUUUUUAAACGUCAAAGUUCCUCUUUAAUGAAAGAGUGUCACGCUCCAAUUCUUUUUAUAAACAUCAAAGUUCCUCUUUAUUGAAAGAGUGUCAUGUUUGAUGUUUACAUACACCGUAAAUUCUGGCUACAAGCUCGCAGUAGAGACGGAGUAAACUCUCUCAAAUAUCGGUGAAGCUUCAAGUAAUGAAGCUAAUAGGAAGUUCUGGAGAGUUAUGUGAGGACUUCAAAUUCCCAAUAAGAUCAAGUUUUUUCUUUUUUUUUUUUGUGUGGAGAGCAGUCCAUGACAUCCUUCCAUGUUCCUUUAAUCUUUAUCAAAGAAAGAUUACAAAUAACCCUUGCUGCUCCCGAUGUGGUAUUAAAGCUGAGACAACUUUUCAUGCUCUAUGGGAGUGUGAAUUUAGCCGGAGAGUUUGGAAGAAAUCCAUUUGGAAAGAUUCUGGAAAGAGUCACUCUACUUUUGCUAGUUGGUGUGAAGAGCUGAUUCGUCAUCUGCCCAAGGAUGAGAUGGAAUUGUUUGCUUAUGUAACUUGGCGGCUUUGGAUGUUGAGAAAUGACCAUCUUCAUGGUAAAAUUAAUUAUCAAACUCCAGGCUACAUUAUCUCUAAAGCUUGUUCUCUUUUGGGUGAGUUUAAGGAGGCUAACAAAAUCAAGGGGCUGCAUAAAGUGAAUAGAGAGUGUAAUUGGGAACCUCCAUGUGAAGGUGUGUACAAACUAAAUACUGAUGGUGCAGUGAAUCUUAAAAACGGAAGAAGAGGGCAUGGUGCUGUGAUCCGAAACGAGAAAGGAGAGCUUAUGAGAGCUUCUGCUCAACAAGUUGUAGGUACUUUCUCUCCAUUGGUAACUGAACUUAUGGCACUAAAAGCGGGUCUAUGCUUUGCUAUUGAUUUGAGAACCCUUCCUGUGGUAGUUGCAUUGGACUGCACAGAGGCGGUGCGUCUUAUCAAUGUCUCCGAUACUUGUAUCGCUGGGGAGGGUUUCUUAGUUGAAGAAGAGAAGUCCUUGCAAAAAUGUUGUAGUGCAAGUUGUGUCACCUUCAAACCCCGGGAAUGCAACAAGGUUUCUCAUGGUUUAGCUAAAUUCAUUUUGUAUGAAAAUGAGAAUAUGUUCUGUAUUGAGCAUGGGCCAGAAUGGCUUAUGGAAUUGGUGAAAAUAGAUUCUGAUAUUUGUAACAUUUCCUCCGAUUAAUGAAUGAUUACUUUUCUUGAUACAAAAAAAAAAAAAGAAUGUUUACAUACACCAAGGAGUUCUCGAUCACUAGUUGUAUGCUUUGGGGCUCAUCUUCAUUCUGAACCCAAAAAUGCAAUCAAAUAAGGUUGAAUCCAUAUGGGAUCCCUUCUAAUACAUAUGGGAGCCCUUCUAAUCAAUCUCAUUUUUGGGUUUCUAUACAUAUGGGAGCCCUUGUAAUCCAUAUCAAAUAUGGGUUUCUCAUCUUUCAUUUUCAUUUUUGGAUUUAGGUACGAACAGUGGCGGAACUGUGCUUGGGUCUAAGAGGGUUCAGACCCCUGCUAGUUUUUGAAUAUGUCUUUCAUUAGUUAACUUGAUUACCUUAAGAGUGCAGCUAUUGAGACCUCCAAAUUUGCUCACUUUACCUCACUCUAUUAUGAAUUAUUAAAUGACAUAUGUAUCCGCUUACACGUACAAUGACUAUUAAGGACACUAAUUAAAAAAAAGAAAAUAAUAUUACAUUUAUUCUCUCUAAACUUUCUAAUUCAAUAAUAAUGGAUUGCAUUUUAUUAUUUUCCUUAUUGAUUUUUAUUUUCUAGUUUUACCACAUACUUAUUAAAGCAUUUAUAUAUUUAUAUUAUCAUACAUGUCACAUGCAUAUACAAAGUGAAAAAAUAUUUUUACAAAAAUUAUGAUCUAUCAAUUAUUAAAAAAUAAAUAAAUAAGUAUCAUAAUAUUUUUACAAAAAUUAUGAUCUAUCAAUUAUUAAAUUAAUUUAUCAUCAUGAGGUAUAAAAACAAAAAAUAUAAACUUACAAAAAUAAUAGUAUAUGUAAAAUAGAAAUACAAAAAUAACAAAAAUAUAGAAUAGUUCAUGUAAGAACAUUCUUUUGAUGAUGGAUAAAUAAAAAUUUUAGAGACACAAAUCCUUGUUUUUUUAAAUUUUUAAAAGUAAUAAUAUUUUUCAUGAUUCGAAUUAAUUUUUCUCUAAAAUUGAUGUCAUUGAAAAUUAUUUCUUACAAUUUGAUUAAAAAAUGAAUGUCUAGUGACAUUUUAAGCAAAAUACAAAAAAUACAAAAAAUAAAGAAAAUCAAGAAAUCAAGGUCGGGAAUGGAGGUUUGCGUUAAAAAGAAAAAGAAAAAAAAAUUAAAGAAUGGAAGUCGGGAAUGGAUCGGAUGUUCACAUGCAAAAGGAAAAAAAAGAAUUAGAGGUAUAGUGAGUGAAUAAGAUGUGUAAUGAGUAAUAUAUUAAUAUAUAUGUGAAUUACAUAAAUAAGACUAUUUUAGAAAUUUGAAAUGAGAUCUAAUAAGCAAAUGUUUGUAUUUAAAAGUAAAAUGGAGGUGUAGAGAGAAUAAGAGGUAUACUGAGCAAAUUUAGAGGUCCCAAUAGCCACACUGUUAUCUUAAUUAUUACAAUUAUGCUAUAUCUGAACCCCUCAAGUAAAUUUUGAGAGAUUUUUUCUCUAAUAUAUAUGAUAAUUGGGAGAUAUUUCUCUUUUAAUAUGAUAUCGGAACGAAUGAAUUCCUUCCAUCUUAGCUUCAGUGCUUGAUUAAUAUUCAAUUUUGUACAAUAUAUAUCAAACAUUGAAUUUUGAUAUUUAUUUUAAUGUUCAUUUAUAUUUCAAUUUUUAUGUUUAUGAUGACAAGAAAAUCAGUUUCAUAUUUGGACUCCCGGUAACUUUUAAUCCUAGUUCCACCACGUCACUGGGUACAAAGACAAGUGACCCACAGGUGAUCAACGGUUUAUAUACGUUGGCUAGAUAAGGCCUCAGUCUGCACAGAAGCACACAACUAAGAUGUUCAAGUAAUUAUCUCACCAAAAAAAAAAAAAAUGUUCAAGUAAUUACAGGCUGUGAUCACGCACUCAUGAUCCUAACGGUCACUUCCUCUUCCUGGGAAUAAAAAAACCCUAGAGCCUCUCACAGGUAGGGUCCCUGGCCCCAAAUCAAGCCCCCCAGCCUUCAAAUUUUCAUGACCGUUUUGUCCCUUUCCCUCCCCUUUUCCCUUUUUCUCAAAGUUUCUAUAUUCUUUGUCACCAAAACCCAACGGCCACCGCUCUCUCUCUCUCUCUCUUCUUCUCUCACUCGCAGAGAUCAAAGAUGCAUUGGUUGCUCUGAAAACCCAGAACCCAAAUCACAGAAAGACCCAAUCUUUGAGAGCGAAGCAGUGAGAUCUGUGAUGGGUUGCUUUCUUGCUUGUUUUGGUUCUUCCAAAGAUAAGAACCGCCGGAAUCAACAGCAGAGGUACAGGGUUCAGAACCGGGAACAAGUAAGCCCUCGUUUCCAAAGCUUUGUUAUUGGUGUAUGGUUCUGUGUUUGCUUAGAAUCGAGUACAGUGUUCAAUCUUGCAUACUGUUUCUUUUUUGGGUUUGGUUUAGUUUUGUUAAAUUUGGUAUGAAACUGGUGUUGUUUUUUGCUUUUGAGAUGUUCUGUUUAGGCAGAGUCUUGAAGUUUAAGAAUUUAAAGAGCUUGGGUUGGUGUUCUUCUUUGGCUAAUAGCUAUGUGUAAUUGCUUUUUCCUCAGAGAUACACAAGUUUUGAGCCUGUUCAAUCUGCUGUGUCUGAUGUGCCUGUUUGGGAGAAACCCAUCACUCCUGAUUUGAAAUGUGAGGAACCCAUCAAUCCUGAAUUGAAAUGUGAGAAACCCAUCAGCCCAGAAUUGAAAGAUGAGAAACCCAUCAGCCCAGAAUUGAAAGAAGAAGAACCCAGUAGUCCAGAAUUGGAAGUUGUAAUCAGUCCAGAAGUUAGGUGAGUGAUUGAAACUUCAUGGUUUUGAUUUCACUAAGUCCUUAUAUAUCUCUUUGAUGCAUGUGUUAGGUGAGUGAUUGAAACUUCAUGGUUUUGAUUUCACUAAGUCCUUAUAUAUCUCUUUGAUGCAUGUGUUUGCUUUGGAGUUGUAGUUUGCUUUGGUGUUUUUUUAUAUUGAAGUUUAUGAGUUUUGUUCUGUAGGGAUAAGCCAGUGGAACAACUGAGCUGCAUUGCUAGAAAGAAGGUGACUUUUGAUUCUAAUGUGCAAACCUAUGAGCAUGUUGCAAUCAACGAAUCCACGGAUAUUUUACUUGAUAGUAAAGAGUGUCAGAAGGAGGAGGGGGAAACCUUGAAAGAAUCAAGCCUGUCGAAGACUUCGUCUGAAGAUGAUUCCAUCACUUCUAGCUCAGGGUCGUAUCCUCCUAAUCAUAGGUACCAGAAUUGCAGGGACAGUGAUGAUGAAGAUGAACCAUUAGACUAUGACGAGGACAGUGAUCUUGAUGAUGAUGAUGAUCUUGAGGACGAAACUGAUGAUGAUGAAAUUGUAGACUCGAAGAGAGGGACACAAGUAAUGACUGAGGAUGCUGACAGUCCAAUUCCAAAAAAGCCAACUGGGCUUAACUACAGUGUUCGUGAUAGGAGUGGUUAUGUUCAUGCUGUGCUUAACCCAGUUGAAAAUAUCACACAAUGGAAAGCUGUCAAAGCAAAAAAGACAACCGUAAUGAAACCUCAGAAGGAGAAUUUCACCCUGGAUGAUGAACCCCGGAUUUCAUUCAGUUCAGAGCCAAGUAUCAAGGAAGUAUCGUCGAGUUUCAAAUCAUGUAAGAGGCAAUCUGGUCAGGCGAGGAAUUCUAACCAUGAAAUGGCAGUUGAUGCUAGCCUGUCAAAUUGGUUGGGUUCAUCAGAAGCUACACCUGUUAAAAAGACUAGCACAUCUCUGGGCGCUUCUACGCCUGAGAAAAGCAUGUCCUACGGAUCACCACACUCAGCAACAAGCCACGAAGAUAGACCAAUUUUAGGUGCAUUAACAGUUGAAGAGCUGAGACAGUUUUCAGCUUCAUCUUCACCGCGGAAAUCACCCAGCAGAAGCCCUGAUGAGAUGGCCAUAAUUGGGACUGUUGGGAGCUACUGGAAUGAUCAGACCGAUCCUGCCAAGGGUUCUGGUGCCUCCUCUUACAAAGGAAUACCAAACACAACCAGCAAGUACAGAGAGGUAAGUGUGAAGUAAGAUUUGUGAGACACUCACUCUUCCAGAUUAUUGUUGGGUUCUGAUAAAAGUUUUGUGGAUUUGCAGGAUAGAAGAGUCAACUGGCACUCUACCCCAUUCGAGACACGAUUAGAAAGAGCUUUGAAUAGAGGUGCUGCAGAUGCCUACUCAUCUUCUCGUACGCCUCAUGGUUUGUGAGAUUGUUUUGUGAUUGUUGUUGUCUGUUCAUUGUGUCCUAUUUUUUAAUUUUUUAAUUUUUUUUUUUUUUUUUUUUUGUGAACUAGACCUUGCUAUGAGUUGUUGUGAGAUAGUUGCUUGGGUAGUAUAAUAUUUAUAUGAAACUAGACUUUGCUUGUAUCAUGAACCUACACUUCCUGGAUCAGUAUCAGUCCCUGAAAACAUUUUGUUAGAUAUGAGAAGAAGAAAAAUGAAAUGGCAUUAUUAUUCAUCUUCAGCUUGCCACAAUGUACCCAUUACUUUUUUACGAAGAUGAAAUUUGUAAAAAUUUCAAGAAUAAGUAGAAAUUCUAUGCUGUUUAUGAAGAGGCAAUAUUUCAAUAGUUUCUGCCAAGACAUGAUGGCUUCUAGGCUAACUUAUAAAUUUCUACAACUCUGUUUUCGAUCAAACGCUACCUGAUACUCACUGAUGGCUUCUAGGCUAACUUAUAAAUUUCUACAACUCUGUUUUCGAUCAAACGCUACCUGAUACUCACUGGCAACACAUUCAGCAGAUGUGUUACUUUUCCUCAUGAUUUUCACCUGACUGACUGUGGCACUGAAACCAGAAGUAGAAGAGCCUAAUAGCUAAUCUUGAUCAUGAUCUGUGAACCCAACUGCUGAAUAUGAACAAGCAGCUAGUACCUAAAUUUCUUACCAUAAAUUCAUAACAGAUCCAUUUGUUUUUCCAUUUAGCAGCUUCUACUUCUGUUUGUCUUGGACCUCAAGACUUUGAUCAAAAGAGAGGUUUCUGACUUUCUGUUAUUCUCAUGGAAAGUUUAAUCAACUUUCCUGGAGAUUUUACUAUAACCAACUUAUCGUCUCUAGUGAAACUGUACACCCAUAUUUUCAAAUGAUGAGUAGUGUAAUUGUCGCAACCAACAAGAUUAUUUCUUACUACCUUACACUGCUGGAUCUAGAAAUUUAACAUCAGACUGCCUUUCUUAAUCAUUAACCUUUCUUUUCAAACAUCAGACUGCGUACGUUGAUAAAUUCAUCAUACACGUCAGCAGAUUAAUAUUCACAUAUAUGAAAAGGUAGAAGGAAAAAAGAAAAAGAAAGAACGCAGCAGAUUACUUCAUGUCACUCGUACUACCAUAGAACUUGGAGCUACUCAAUUUACCGAGUACUAAUACAGCUGAACAGAAAUUUCUGCUGUAUAACUUCAAUGUAAUAUGAUGGCGAUAUAUCAAGUAUCUCAAACAAAGCAACAGCAACCACAUUUUCAUCAUACCCACAAGAAGUUGUAAUCGAAAUAGACAACACAAGACAUGAUGAGCGGGACUAUGAGUUUCACAUCAACAUAAAGACUACAUAAUACACCUGACACUGCUGGCACUAGCUAGCAUAAUACUGAUAAAAAAGAAAAGAAAAAAAAGCUAGCAUAAUACAUUUAUUCACCAAAUAGCUAGAAACUAUAGGAAAUGCAGGACUCUUUCAAUUUUGGAGAGAUAUAGUUGUUAAAUCCCCUUCUUAUUUCAGUUCCUUCUAGUUAAGAAAACUAGCCAAGUUCUUGAUGGUUACCGUGCUGAACGGCUCAGAAAGGCAAGCCUGGGUCCUGGCUGAUGAUAGUUCUUUUGCCACAGAAUGCAUGGUUGGUCGUGAUUCUGGAUUAAUGCUGGUGCAGGCCAAGGCCAUUGUAACCAAGGAAACCACUCGCACUGCUAAUUGACUUGAAGGAGACCGAAGUCGCUGGUCAAGCAGAUCCUUCAAGAGCAUAUCUCCAUUUUCCGAUAGAGAAGUCAGUAGCUCCCCUGGAUGCUUACCCAUCAUGAUUUCUAACGCGAUCACUCCAAAGCUGUAUACAUCACUCUUGUCUGUCACUUGCAUUGUGAAUGCGAACUCUGCAUGCUCAUAAAAAUAACCAAAAUUUUCCCAUCAUAUACAUGUAUAAAACAAUAUUGCUAAUGCUCAAAGUCUAAACCUCUAUAUAGAUCAAAUACAAACUUUAUAAGAAGUUUGUUGAAUGACUAAUACCUGGAGCCAUGUAGCCAUAAGACCCAGCUACAGCAGUCCAGUUUGAGGAAUCUGAGCUCAGUAGUUUUGCUGUUCCAAAGUCUGAUAGGCGUGGCACAAAAUCUGGAUCUAGUAAUACGUUGCUCAAAGUUAUGUCACGGUGAACUAUUUGGUGAGAGCAGUCAUUAUGCAAGUGAGAAAUAGCAUGAGCUAUUCCUUGCACAAUUUUCACCCUAGUUCCCCAGCCAAGCACUUCUACUUCACCCUCAGCUCCAUACAAUGCCAUUUUCAAACUGCCUCUCUCUGCAUAUUCAUACACCAAGUACAAGCACCCCUUCCAGGAACAGAACCCAUAAAGUUUUAUUACAUUUCUGUGCAUCACUUCUGUCAAGGUUCUUAUCUCAUUCUCAAAACUCUUGAGAUUCAACUCUGGAAUGUCGUCACUAGAGUCUACUGACAUAUGCAAUUUCUUAACUGCAACAACUCUGCCUCUGUCCAACGCGGCCUUGUAGACACUUCCAAAACCUCCUCUUCCAAUGAGGUACUUCUCAUCAAAGUUCUCGGUGGCAGUGAUGAUUUCAGAAAAUUUAAGUUUACCAUGUCUUCCCCAAAUAAAUGAAUCAUAACUUUCAGACACCUUAGGAUCAUCGAUUUCUCCAAGCUUUGAUUUCUUGCAGAACUUGAGGAUUACAGCAGAUAUGGUCACCAUAAGCAAUAUACCACAAAUGGGAACAAGGACGCCAACAAGAAUUUUCUUGUUGGACCUUUUAGUACCUAAAGUACAUGGAGUUAGUCCAUCUCUAUCACCACACAAACCACUAUUCCCAAUGAAAGCAUUAUUUGGAAGCUUCUUUUGGAAAAUGCCACCGGUUGGGAUUGUACCUGUCAAGUUGUUGUAAGAAAAAUCAAUGCCGACAAGGCUAAGCAUUCUGGGUAAUGUUGCUGGGAUGUUCCCUGAGAGUUGGUUAUGGGAGACAUUAAGAAUCUCCAGCAUUAUGAGCUUGGCAAGGUUUGAAGGUACUGAUCCUGAAAAGGAAUUGCUGCUGAGGUCCAACAAGUAUCGCAGGGGUAGAUUACCAAGCUCAUCUGCUAUUCCACCUGAUAAUUUGUUGUGGCUUAUGUUCAAACUUAUUAAGCUCUUGAACGUUCCAGACUCGACUGGUAAUACUCCUGUAAAAUUAUUAGCAGACAAAUCAAGAAACUGCAGCAUACUCAGUCCGCCUAGAAUCUGAGGAAUUGUUCCUGUCAGGUGGUUCCUGCUUAGAUCUAGAGAGUACAACAAGCUUAUAUUUGCAAUGAAAGCCGGAAAUUCCCCGCUGAAUUCAUUAGCGCCUAGGCUUAGAUGCUGCAACUGUGUAAGCUGCCCCAGCUCAGGUGGGAGUUGACCAGAAAUUCUAUUUCCCUCCAUCCGCAUAUCCAUGAUGUUCUUGAAUUCUCCCCACUGUGGCGAGAGUUGACCAACAAACUUGUUGUUACUAAGAACAAUUUGUGUAAGGCUGGGAUGAACUCCAAAUGCAUUGCUAAUGUUUCCGGUGAAUUGGUUUCCAUCAAGCGAGACUGUAAUCAGUGCAGAACAAUAUCUCAAGCACUCAGGCAAUGGCCCUCUGAAGCUGUUAUGACUCACUCCGAUAUAUUCCAGAGACAAUCCACUGCACAGUUCUUGUGGCAAUUCUCCAGAUAAUUUGUUACUCGAAAGGCCAACAGCUUUCAAUUUAGGAUUGUAUUUACCAAAAUCACUGGGAAUAGUUCCUGAUAACUUAUUGACUUCUGCAUAAAAAAUCUGUAUGUUAGUCAGUAGAGAAAUGGUUUCUGGCAACUCACCCUCAAGUUUGUUCUCAUCCACUACAAAGAAAGCCAGUGAAGUCAUGUUUCCAAUCUCUGGGGGAAUUGUGCCACUGAGAGUAUUCGAGUCAAGGAGUAGACUAUCAAGAUAUGUGAGAUUCCAGAGUCCCAAAGGAAUCCGCCCAGAGAACUGGUUUUUAGAGAGGUCCAAAUAUUUCACAACUUUCAGGUUUCCUAUCUCUGGGGGAAUUGUGCCACUGAGAGCAUUUGACUUAAGAUCUACAACCUCAAGAUGUGUGAGAUUCCAGAUUGUCAAAGGAAUUGGCCCAGAUAGGUGGUUUUCUGAUAGAACAAAGUAUCUCAAAUCUUGCAAGUUCCCUAUGUCUGAGGGAAUUGUUCCAUAGAAGUUAUUGCCGUGCAGAGAAAAAAAAUUGAGUUUUGUCAAAAGGCCAAUUUCUGCUGGAAUGUUCCCACUGAACCUAUUUAUUUGGAGAUACAAAGUGGUCAUCUUAGUCCAAUUGGAGAUCAGAGAAGGUAAGAUUGGCCCCGUAAACAGAUUUUCAGAUAACUUCAACUCCACCAAACUGUGGAGAUUGGCCAAGAACAAAGGAAGUUCCUCACUGAAUCUAUUAUUUUUGAGGUUCAAGGACAACAUUUCAGUCCAAUUGGAGAUCAGAGAAGACAAGAUCGGCCCAGUAAAUAGAUUAUCCGAUAACCUCAAAAACUUCAAGUUGUUGAGAUUGGACAAGGACAGAGGCAGUUCCCCACUGAGUUUAUUGACAGCCAAGGACAAAUGAGUGAGCUUUGUACAAAGGCCAAGCUCAGAAGGGAUUGAAGAGUUCAAGAAAUUCUCUCCAAGGUCUAGGUGCUGUAGCUCCCUGAGUUGGCCUACUGAGGAUGGGAUUUUGCCUUCAAGGGAGUUGUUAUAAAGGCUAAUAAAUUGAAGACCAGAUAUGAAGCCAAUACCUUCAGGAAUUGGACCAUUAAAGUUGUUCAAUUCCAAAUUAAGGUGCUUAAGGUUGGGAAAGUUAUAUGGGAAUGGUCCUUGGAAUCGGUUGUUGGUGAGAUUGAGAGAUUCAAGCUUGACCAGGUUGGUAACUACCACCUUUGGUAUCUGGCCAGUCAAAAGAUUUUCUGACAAAUCCAGGAAGGUCAAGUUCCUACAUUCAGAUAUAAAUUCUGGGAAUUCUGAAUCCAAAUUGUUCAGGGAAAGAUCAAGGUACCUCAACAAAGGAAAGCCUGAAAAUUUAGACCAGUCAGGAGUGUCUAAGUGGUUACUUCCAAGAAGCAAAUAUUUUACCUUUUUGAGAUUGUCCAGCUGAUAGGGAAUGGUACCAGUGAGACUGUUGUUGUAGAGACUUAGGUACUGAAGCGCCUUUAGGUUUCCCAUUUGUGCAGGAACUUCUUGUGAAAACAUAUUGUUGCCCAAAUCCAAGGUUGUGAGGUUGGUGAGGUUGCCCAUGGCAGAUGGUAUAGGCCCUGAGAAAUUGUUGCCACUGAGGUUGAAGUAAUUGAGAUAGAGAAACUUGUCGAAGUUGAACUGUGUUAGUGCUCCAGCAGUGAUGUUGAAGUUUGCAAGGUGAAUUUUAGAAACUGUUUUGGUAUUAUGGUUACAGACAAUUGCACUCCAGUAGCAAAGGCUGUUUAGGUUUGUGAAGGACCAUGAAUUCAGAGAAGGCGGUGAAGAACCAAAGCUGCUCUUCCAUUUUAGGAGAGCUUCAGCCUGUGUUCUUUGUGAUGAUAUGGCCUCCAAUGGAAGCAAAAAGAGCAACAAAAUAUGAAGGACGAGGACACGCAGUGGAGUCUCCUGAACUGCUCUCAUGAUGUUGUGCUCUAUCGAAAUAAUAAAGCUGUAUGGAAGAAGGAAUCUACACCAGGAGAUGAUCAAUUUUGAAGAAAGAGGUUGAUUUUGUAAGCUCUCUGAAUAGUUUUGAGGAGAUUUAAAAUGACUUGGGAGUUGGGAAAUUCAUUCAGCAAGUCAGUCUACUAGCUUGACCAGUUGUAUUCUUUGAAUGCAACAGUAACUCCACUUAACCUUUUGAAAUUUGUUAUCCAGUAAGAGCAGUAAUACCUAAUCAACUGCUAAUAUCACUUUGCAUCAACAAAUCAGUGGCAAGCAAAUACCUUAAUUUAGUGAAGAAUGUGGCUACGCGCAAAACCUUUUACUAAUGGUUUUCUAGUUAAUAGGUCUUUGAUGAUUACACAUGUUUGUUUAAUGAAAUUGAAAUAGCACAGCAUUUGCUAACUUUCCUAAUGCUAUUUCUGUGGGUUGAAAAGUGAUUUUAGAUUCAGCCACCGUGUUUAUCGUUUUACUUAUUAAAGAUUAUGUUCUAAUAUUCCAAGUAAGAUUUGUAACACAUGCAUCUAUAUCGAAGAAGUAAGAAGGCAAACAAAUGACAACAAUUUUGAAAUUUCCCUAUAAUGAACUCAUAAUCAGAUAUAACAGUACAACAAAUGCAACUCUAAACUAUUUAAAUUCUUCAUAUAGAGUUCGUGGGUUAUCAGAGACAUAAGGUAGGCUACAGUACCUGCUUGAUCGAUGUUGAUGCUAAUGUUCUGAGUUGAGUAUUAUCGAUCAGAUUUGAUAUCAACUUGCCGCAUGCUUCCCUCACUGGAUAGGAGGAGGUGAGCGCGCGCCGUCGUUUUGGUUUGUGGGAGUGGAUGGAAUUUUGUUGUGGUUGAGGAUUAGAGAGGGACAUGAUUUGCAGAGUGCUCUGCAUUUGAAUAGUGAUUUGACGAAAUGAGGCGUCUGAGAUUGGUUGCAUUGAUCGAUUUUCCAGCGACACUUUACUUUGAUGUUUCGAUGGAAGACUUGGGGUUUAGGGUUUUAGACUUUAGUUGCUGCUGGUUCUGAAGCAAUGAAAAGUCGAAAUAGGCCUCGAAGCUUAAUUUUUUAUUUAUUUUUUUAAUAAGGAAAGCUUAAUUAAUUGUAUAACAGAAAAUUACAUAUAUACAAGGAACUUAUCAAAUUUAAAAACACAAAAAACCCACAUUCAAUAUUUCUUAUACAGAUUAGGACAUCAAUCCAAGCCUAACAAUAAUAACAGCAGGCCUGACCCGAGUUGUAGAUUGAAAUGACUAAAUGCCCAACUCUAAAUCAAAAAUUACAAACCUCAUCCUUUAUCUUCUUCUCUCUCCACCUUGCCACAGAUCUCUUCCUUUCUCUCUGUGUUUUUUUUUCUAGAAGCUCUCUCUCUGUUACUCUCUCUCUCUCAUACCAAUUAACAGCGGCAGAAGACACUCGACUGCGACGCCCAUAUAUGACAGACGACGCUCGUCGACGACGCCUGGCUCCUCAACGUUGACUGCGGAUCUGCCUUGAUGACGACGGUGGAUCUACCUCGAUGACGACGGCGGAUCUGCCUCGACGGCAAAGGCAGCUCUGCCUCGACGACGACGGCUCCACCGAUCCUCUCACUGUACAUAUUCCUCAGUCCUCCACCGUCGUCAAAAUCCAAUCUGCUACUAAAGCCACUUGAUCCGAGGCCAACGACAUGAGCAGUCGACACAGUCGAGAAGGAAGUUGAGUCGAUUCUUGUUCAAAGCAUUUCAAUUCAAUUAUCACUGAAUGUUUGGGGUUUAGGAUUGGGUAUAUGAUUGGGUUGAGCGUCUGAGUAGCAAUGAGAGGUUGAGGUCAGACUGAGACAAUGAAUUGAAAAUGGAGCUAUAUGAUUGGGUUGAGGUAAUGCAUUGAAAAUGGAGGAGACUGGUUGAGGCAGUAGCAGUGGGUUGAGUAGCAGAAGCAGACAGUAUCAGAGUGGGAUGUGUAGCAGGCAAAUUGGUAAUAGAAGUCGUCAGUAGCAGACAGAUUGGUAGUAUAAGUCGGCAGUAGCAGACGCAUCGGUAGUAGAAGUCGACAGUAGUAGUCGACAUUACCUUGAUCGACAGUAGCAGAUUAUUCAGCUUGUUUGUAAAUUGUUACUCCCUUUAUAGUCUAGUUUUUUACUCCAUAGUAGCAGCUUUUUAAUCGGAAAUAGCAGCGCUCCGGCCGACAGUAGCACCUUUCUAUUAGGCAGUAGCAACGCACGAGACUGAACCUGUGUCUAUAAAUUCUGACCGACUUAUUUUUUUGUUAUAAUUAAUUUUUUUAAGUUUGAAGGUUACAAUUGUAAAUGUGUUAUUGCCACAUGGCAACAAUAUAACAACUUGUCUUUAUUUGUUAAUUUUUGUCCUUAGAUGUGUAAGAUAUUAUGUAAUGAAUGUAUUUGUAAACUGAAAUUUGGUUAGUAACUAAUAUGUAUUUUACUAAUUGUACAAUGAUUAACACUAACUGAAAGUGGGAGCUAGUCCUAAAUUCAAACAUAUGGCGGAAAAUCGAAGGUAGAUAAGAACCCAUAUUGGAUACAAAGGUAGACCGACUAAAUGCAUAAGUUGACUAGCUAGCUUGACUUAAUCUCAAGUUAAUUAGAUGUAUUAACAUACUGUGUACAAACCUUUUUUAACUAUGUAUUCAUUUCAAAGAGAUGCCACAGCCAAAGGGUACCAUGUGAUAUAAUAAUCAUGAUCUGUGUAAACAAACUCACAUAACUUGAACAAGUUUUAACCUUAUUCUACAGUUCUAUGUUAGUUAGUCUAAUAACAUAUCCAUGCCACAAAGUGAGCCUCCAUACAAACUAACAAUCUAGACUAUAGUGCAUGUACACCCUAAAUUUCAAUACCACAAGAUACGAUGAGCCUCCGCAGAAACUAAUUGCCUACAAUUCUACAUUGAAACUGCACAAACUGUUACAGCUCUAUGACAGAGCUUGAUUAUCUUUAUCGUACCAUACAUUGUUCGAGCCAGAAUAACAAAAUAAUACUAACUGAUUUAUUUACCGGGAAACUCGAAAGUAAUUAGAUAUCCUAAAACAAUAAGGCCUUACCACUGUUCAUUCCAGUGGCGAAAACACGGUUUUACCUCCGAUUUGCAAACAAUUACAACAAUGCCAUUGAUGAGUCUGAUACAUGUCUAGGUCCUUGACGUGUCGUCAAUAUUUUCUUCUACACGACCUAUAGUGAUACCUGCGGGCAUGUCCUGCUGAUACGUGUAUUGGUCAUUGACGUUUCGUCAGUGUCUUCUUCUACAUGACGGGGUUCCAUUUGAUAACCAUCUUAUAAGUUAUAACCAUCUUCUGCGUCCCUUUUUGCAGUGAAGGGGAGUGAGAGAAAGAGGGGUUAUUUGUGAAGCAAAAAUCUGCAUUGCUAUUGUCAAUCAAAUCGUUGAGGUAUGGGUUUUGCUUUGUCUAUCAUUGAUUUUGGGUUACUGUUUCAUUGUCCCGAUCGUCUUUCGUCUUUCGUCUUUGUUUUGAUUCCAAAUUACCAAUACUUUCAUCAAUUCGUAAACAGGGUUCUGGGUUCUUAAACGGCGGUGUCCGACGGACUCUCUGAGGGUUAUAUGAGACAAAUAUGUAUAUAACCCAAUCCAUGCAAGUACUGACUGGUUUCAGUGGUGAGGUAUAUAUAGACAACUCAGACAGGCUGUGAAUUUUGGUUUCACAUUCAAAGACGGAAACAAUCUGAUGUGUGUGUGUAGAUAGAAUGCUAGCAGCUUUUUCUCUUCACCAAAUUUUGUGGCCACAAAAUUCAAGCUGGGAUGUUCUCCUAGCAUACUGGCAUAAGUCAUGUUCUGAUUGUCUAUUGAGAACAAAAGGGGCUUAUUAGAUUGUUGCAGCGCAAUUUCAUGGCUUUGUAUGUUCUAACUAUGUGUUCUGGAAGUUUGAUUCUGAUGCCUAACCUUGCGUGUCAUUGUUGUUACUUUCCUGUGUAAGCUUUGUUUAGUUUUUGCAGACAACACUAUGUCAGCAACAAUCAUUGCAAUUUCAGCCAUACAGCCAUCUGAAAAUGGGAAGACUAUAGAGGUUCCAGUCUGUCGAAUAUGGAGAGGGAAAAUAUUGAAUCCUACUGAACGAAAUGAAGGUCUACAAUGUGUGUUGGUUGACCGAUAUGUAAGCAAUUACAGAGUAUUUGUUUUUCAUGUUUAUCUGUCUCAGUAAUUUUUGGGUGCUUACUAAUGGUAUUUGUUGUUCACAGAUGAAUGCAAUUCAUGCAAUCACAAUAGAAGCAUACUAUGAUUAUGUCAAGGAGAAACUUAUGGUAGGAUGUGUGUACCGGAUAUCAAAAUUUCACUCCAAAAAAUCCCAGGACAAGUACAUCGUCGUGGAACAUAGGGCGCAGUUGUUAUUUAACAACAGGACUCAGUUUAUUCCUCUGCCUGAUAUUCCUCAGCGUUGGUUUUGAUUUGUGGAUUUUGAUAGGCUUCAUAUGCGUGAGAAUAAGGACACAGUUCUGACAGGUAUUUCUUCCUUUCACCUGUGCAUAAAAAAGGCCGUUAUUUCUUAUACUUUCUUUUUGUGAUUCUCUUCCAUUGUUCUUUCAUGCAUCUGUGAAUGUUAUUUAUAUAUCAGUGUCACUGUGUCCAUUAGCAUGCUGAUCAUGUUUGAAUGACAAGUAAUAAAGAUGCUCUUAUAUAUUGGUUUUGUACACAUUAGUAGAAACUAUUAUCUAUUAAGACACUGCUUCAUCUAAUACUAUGUGUUGUUUUUUCUUUUCUUAUCAUGUAGACCUCAUUGGUUUUUUGAAGCUGGUGUAUCCACUGGAAGAAGCAUUUAUCGAUGGGAGGAAAGCACUGAAAUGUUUACUCUACAUACAAGAUGCAAGGUUUGCAAUUUGUUGACCAUGGCCUGUUUAUUGCUAUAUUGAUAUUAAAAUGUGUCAUUUUUUAACUUAGUUUAAGUGUGUACUUCAUGUUUUCAUUCCAUAGGUUUUUAUGCUCUUUUAUAAAGAUAAAUUAGCUAAUAAACUUUUGUAAAUUUUUACAGGAGGCAAGACUUGAAACUCACUUUAUAGGGAACACUUGCAUCUGAAUUUGAAGUUGAUAUGAUAAAAACUUUACCACCUCUAGUUGUAAUGGCCUUCACAAGCACGAAAGUCAGGCGCUUUGGUAUGACAAAGCUAUUUUACUCUGAUACAUGUUGUUGCUGUGUAGUACCUAUUUUCUGUCUCUGUUGCUCUUAAUAAUUCAUUUUUGUUUUUUCAGAUUACACUAUUGUGAACAGUGGGAUGAGUACAUGUCUGUUCAAUAACCCAGCCAUUCCUGAGAUAGAAGAAUAUAGAGCAAAGUAAAGUCUAAUAAGUUGAACAGAAUAAUGUUUGUUCUUUCCAUUUCUGAAACCAACUGAAUCUUAUUUCGUUUCUCACUGUAGCUUCAACAAGCCUUAUAAUGCUCCAAAGUUUAUAACAACAUCAUCUGCACGUCAUGAACCUGCUCCUGAUUAUCGACAUGAAGAUAUAAUCAAUGUCAACACCUUGAACUAGCAGGCUGGAAAGAAAGACAAGGUAAAAUUGCAAAGCAUGAAAAUAAAAGAUUUUGUUACUUUGCAGCUGCAGUUAAUAUUAUUCAAUUGUAUGCUGACUUUGUUGCAGAGUCUCAUUUUUAUCUGCAAAGCUAAGAUUACAAAGUUCAUGGUUCAACAAGGGUGGUAUUACCUGGCUUGCCCCACCUGCUGCAAGACUCUUAGGUUGGAUCAUAAUUCUGGAAAGCUUUGUUGUUGAAAUCAUGGAGAGCGGUUUGGCAAUCCCAUGUAAGGUACUAGAAUAUAUUACAAUUCCAUCUGUAAUAUUUUUAUAAGAACAUCUUCACCAUUUUCUUGGCUUAUAUUUAUGCAAUGCAUAUAGUUUAGUUGCCAGCUCUCUUUGUAAUUAUCAUUAUACUUAAAAACAUCUCUUAUUUCAAUCUAUGGAUGCUUUAUAUUUGUUCAUGCAUAUUUGUUUUAAUCACUGAAAUCACAUGUUUGCACAUACAAAUAACACUAUUACAGAUACAAAAUGGAACUACUGCUUGAGGAUGAAGAUGAUUCAACAACAGCUACAAUCAUAGGUAAAGCAGUGGACACCCUCUUUGGAAUAGCAUGUGAUGAGCUGGUGAAUGAAAAAAGAGAGGAUGACAAGUACAAUGUUGCCCCUACAAUCAUAGGUAAAGUAGCAGACACCCUCUUUGGAAUAGCAUGUGAUGAGUUGGUGAAUGAAAAAGGAGAGAAUGACAAGUACAAUGUUCCCCCUACAAUCAUAGGUAAAGCAGCGGACACCCUCUUUGGAAUAGGAUGUGAUGAGCUGGUGAAUGAAAAAAGAGAGGAUGACAAAUACAAUGUUCCCCCUGCAAUAGAGAAGGCAAAGAAUCAGUAUCAUGUGUGGUGUAUUGGCUAUGGCAUUAGAGAUGAUUUCUUGGUGAAAGAUGUUUACCUCGAGAAUAGAGACGAUGAAGAGCUGUUUAUCCAUGAUACAGUGUCACAGCCAACUACUCUGGCAAAGAGAGCAAUCCAACCCCAUAAGGAAGCAACACUGAAGGAGCUCUUGAACAUGGAAAUAAAAAAGAAACAAAAAAGGUAUUGCCAUAUUCAUAAGAAUUCUAAAAUAACAAUAACAAUGUUGCUGAUUUAAGUGGAAUGAUAUUUGAUUACAUUCUGCUAUUCAUCCGUUGGAAACAAUUAUUUGCAUUUUUAUAUGUAUAACUAGAAUGAUCCCCUUCUUAUAACUUACUUGCUUUUUGCAGAGAAGAAGGGAGCAAAGGGGCUUCCAAGUAAAUGUAUGUUUUCUAUUUUAGAACUUAUUUAUGUUGUGCUGCUGUGGUACAAAUGGAAUCUCUGACAAAAUUAUAUUAUUUACUUUGCAGAGGACAAGGAAGUAAAGGGACCUUGCAGAGGACAAGGAAGUAAAGGGAUCUCAAAGUAAGUUUUGUAUACAUCUAUAUAUAUACCUCAAACAAAAUCAAAUCAAUUAUCUGUCUAAAAUAUACUUUUCAAUUUGCAGAGGAGAAGGAAGCAAAGGGACACCAAAGUAAGUGUUCUUUUUAUCCAUAUCAGUGCAUUUGUUUUCUCUAAAAAUUUAUUUAUGUUGCAGUAGUAUGCCUUGCAUUAAUUGGUUUUGUUUAUCUUUUAACAACUUUGUUAAUAUUCAAUGCUUCAAUUUAAAUGUUUAUGUACUAGAGGUCAACCAAACAAAGCCAAGUCCAAGAUAAAGGAGAACUAAGGAUUCUGUGCUCAUUUUGGAUAAUGGUUAUAUAUAUGCUCGCUCCCCAGCAAUAGUUCUUUUGAUGCUAAGUUGCUAACAGGUUAGACGUACAUGGUUGCUAUCAUCACAACUAUUGUUUUGACUACCAAUGGGAAGCAUUUUGCUGUGCAGAAUGACAAUACAUGACUUAUUUUUUGUACUCAGUUAUUUUGGUGUGUAUGACAGUGUUAUCCACAGAAAGCAAUGUACUGUAUAAUACUACAAUGUGAUGCUUUUGUUUGAUAAGUCACGUGUAUUGUAUCAGACACUAAGUUGAUGGAUUUUCUGUACUCAACAUUUCCAUUUUUCACCAUGUCUCCCUGUAAUAUAGUGUCUGUGUGUUUACUAUGCAAACAAAAGUUUAUCCAAACAAAAGCAAUUCCGAUAGUUAAUAUCAGUCAUUGCAAACCGCGGCAUCGCGCGGGCAUCAUCUAGUCUUGUAAGUAUAUAUUGGACAUGCAAAACGGUUCCAGUUAUCAAGUAGGAAUUGAUUGUUAAGAUUCCAUUUUAUUUUAGUCACUUCUACCUUCGAAAACCUGCCUACUUGUCCAAGGAUAGCAUCGUUAACGGCUCAGAGAGGAAAUUCUGGAUCCUGGCUGAUGACAAUUCUUGUGCCACAAGCUUCAUAGUGGGUCGUGAACUUGGAUCAGUGCUGGUGCAGGCCAAGGACAUUGUCACCACAGAAGCCACUGCCUCUGCUAACCCACCUGAUGGGGACGCAAGUCGUUGGUCUAGCAAAUCCUUUAAAAGAAAUUCGCUGUUUUCUGAUAAAGCAGCCAGUAGCUCCCCAGGAUGCCUUCCCAUCAUGAUUUCUAAUGCCACCACCCCAAAGCUGUAAACAUCACACUUAUCUGUCACACGCAUUGUGAAUGCGAGCUCUUCAUGCACAGAACAAUACAAGAAUCAGCCAAGAUUCUUCGAUCAUAUAUAUACACAUAGAUCAAACAAGAAUGCUAAGUUCACCAAAGUUCUUUUCAUCACUAAUUUGUCAGUAUAAAUGUUUUAUAUUAUGGAGAUACAUAUAUUAAUUACUUUCCUAAUGACUGAUUACCUGGAGCCAUGUAGCCAUAAGACCCCGCUACAGCAGUCCAGUUGGAGGAAUCGGAGGUCAGUAUCCUUGCAGUUCCAAAGUCGGAUAGCCGUGGCACGAAAUCAUGCUGCAGUAGUAUGUUGUUCAAAGUUAUGUCCCGGUGAACAAUCGGUGGUGAGCAGUCAUUGUGCAAGUAAGAAACUGCAUGUGCUACUCCUUGCACAAUUUUCACCCUUGUGUCCCAGCCAAGUAUCUCUUCUUCGCCUUCCACCCCAUACAAUACCAUUUUCAAACUACCUCUCUCUGCAUAUUCAUACACCAAGUACAAGCACUCCAUCCAGCAACAGAACCCAUAAAGUUUUAUUACAUUUCUGUGCCUCACUUCUGUCAGGGUUCUUAUCUCGUUCUCAAAACUCUGGCCAAUCAAUACUGGAAUGUGGUCACAAGCAUCUACCGGAAUCCUCAUUUUCUUAACUGCCACAACUUCACCUCUACCCAACACUGCCUUGUAGACACUUCCAAAUCCUCCUCUUCCAAUGAGGUACUUUUCAUCAAAAUUCUCUGUGGCUGUGACGAUUUCAGAAAAUGUAAAAUUUUCAUCUCUCCUCCAAAUGGUUGAUCCAAAACUGUCAGACACCCCAAGCUUUGAUCUCUUACAGAAAUUAAGGGUAACAGAAAUUAUUGUCACAAUCAUCAAUAGACCGCAAAUGGGAACAAGGACACCAACAAGAAUUUUCUUAUCGGAACUUUUGUGAUCUGAAGUGCAUGGAGUGAGUCCCUCUCUUUCUCCGCACAAACCACCAUUUCCAACAAAAGCAUUCGGGAGCUUCUUUUCAAAAAUGCCACCGGUUGGGAUUGUACCUGUCAAGUUGUUGUAAGAAAAAUCAAUGCCGACAAGGCUAUGCAUACUGCGUAAUGUUGCUGGGAUGUUCCCUGAGAGUUGGUUGUGUGACACAUUAAGAAACUCCAGCAUUUUGAGCUUGGCGAAGUUUGAAGGUACUGAUCCUGAAAAUGUAUUGCUGCUGAGGUCUAAGAAGUACUGAAGGCGUAGAUUACCAAUCUCCUCUGGUAUUCCACCUGAUAAUUUGUUGUGGCUUAUGUUCAAACUUAUUAAGCUCUUGAACGUUCCAGACUCGACUGGUAAUACUCCUGUAAAAUUAUUAGCAGACAAAUCAAGAAACUGCAGCAUACUCAGUCCGCCUAGAAUCUGAGGAAUUGUUCCUGUCAGGUGGUUCCUGCUUAGAUCUAGAGAGUACAACAAGCUUAUAUUUGCAAUGAAAGCCGGAAAUUCCCCGCUGAAUUCAUUAGCGCCUAGGCUUAGAUGCUGCAACUGUGUAAGCUGCCCCAGCUCUGGUGGGAUUUGACCAGAAAUUCUAUUUCCGUCCAUUUGCAUAUCCGUGAUGUUUUUGCAUUCGCCCCACUCUGGUGAAAGCUGACCAACAAACUUGUUGUGACUAAGAUAAAUUUUAUCAAGAUGGGGAUGAACACCAAAGGCAUUGGUAAUGUCACCGGUGAAUUGGUUUACAUCAAGCCUUACUCUAAUUAAUGCAGAACAAUAUCUCAAGCACUCAGGCAAUGGCCCUGUGAAGUUGUUUUGGUUCACAAUGAAACGUUCCAGAGAAAAUCCACUGCACAAUUCUGGUGGCAAUUCUCCAGAGAAUUUGUUAUUCAAAAGGUUAACAAAUCUCAACUUAGGACUGUAUUUGCCAAAAUCAAUGGGAACGGUUCCAGAUAAAUUAUUGCUGUGCACAGAAAAGAGCUGGAGGGUUGUGAGGAAAGAAAUGGUCUUUGGCAACUCCCCUUCAAGUUGGUUUUCAGAGAUAUCUAAUUUUCUCAUAACUUGCAAAUUUCCAAUAUCUAAGGGAAUUGAUCCAGAGAAGUUAUUUUUGUUCAGAGAGAGGAUAUCAAGUCUUGUCAACAGGCAAAGUUCUGGUGGAAGGUUCCCACUGAGCCUAUUUUUUUGGAGUUGCAAGGACAACAUUUCAGUCCAAUUGGAGACAAGAGAAGGCAAAACUGGCCCAGUAAAUAGAUUAUCAGAUAACCUCAAGUCCACCAAGCUGUGGAGAUUGGACAAGGACAGAGGCAGCUCCCCACUGAGUUUAUUCACAGCCAAGGACAAAUAAGAGAGGUUGGUACAAAGGCCAAGCUCUGAAGGGAUUGAAGAGUUCAAGGCAUUCUCUCCAAGGUCAAGGUGUUGAAGCUCCCUCAGUUUCCCAAAAGAGGAUGGAAUGUUGCCUUCAAGAGAAUUUCUAAACAGGUCAACACUUCGGAGACCAGAUAUUGAGCCAAUAUCUUCAGGAAUUGGACCACUGAAGUUGUUUUGUCCCAAAUAAAGGUGUUUAAGCUUGGGGAAGCUAUAUGGAAUUGGCCCUUGGAAUAGGUUAUGGGUGAGAUUGAGAUAUUCAAGCUUCCCCAGAUUGGUAACUACCAGUUUCGGUAUUUGGCCGGUCACAAGAUUUGCAGACAAAUCCAAGAAGGUCAGGUUCCCACAUUCAGAUAUAAAUUCUGGGAACUCUGAAGCCAAAUUGUUCAGAUGAAGAUCAAGGUAUGUCAACAAAGGAAAGCCUGAAAAUUUGGACCAAUCAGGAGUGCCCAACUUGUUCUUUCCAAGAAGCAAAUAUUGUACCUUUUUGAGAUUAUCCAGCUGAUAGGGAAUGGUACCAUUGAGAUUGUUGUUGUAGAGACUUAGAAACUGAAGCUCCGUUAACAUUCCCAUUUCCGCAGGCACUUCCUGUCCAACCAGAUUGUUGCCCAAAUCCAAGACUGUCAGCUUACCAAGGUUGCCAAUGGAAGAUGGUAUAGACCCUGUGAAACUGUUAUUAUUGAGGUUGAAGCAAACGAGAUCGAGAAACCUGUUGAAAUUGAACUGAGUUAGUGUUGCAGUGAUGUUAAAGUUUGAGAGGUUAAUUUCAGAGACUGUUUUGGAGUUGGGGUCGCAGACAAUGGCAGUCCAGGUGCAAAGGUUGUUUAUGUUUGUGAGGGACCAUGAACUGAGAGAAGGUGGUGCAUAAUAAAAGCUGUUCUUCCAGCUUAUUAGAGCUUCAGCCUGUGCUGUUGGUGAUGAGGUGGCCUUCAAUGAUAGCAAAGAGACUAAGAAAAUAUGGAGGACAAGAAAAAGAGGAGGCUUCUGAACUCCCUUCAUGGUUUUAAAAUUUCGAUCAGUUUUGAACUUUUAGUGUUAUAUCUCUGAGAUCAAUGAAGAAGUAAAUGUUAGAUGAGAUUACAAGAAAUAUAUAUAAGCAUAUAUAUUCUGCAAAGAAGAAAUAUACUGCAGAUGUUUAGUUGGUUGCUUGGAAAUUUCAGGUCAUUAGAAAUUGUAUAUAGAAUGACUUGUGAGUCAAGUUUUGUUCUCCAGUAUAAGUCAAUUCCUUUUGUGAUGACAUAUAGUCUUCAAUAUUGGAUUUGUCUUUUGGACUCUUGGAAGAUGCUCUGUAGUUGUUGUAAUACAGUUUGUUCAUUUUUUUUUUUCCAACAUGUCCUAGUCUAUGUAGUCUUCUUUUCAGAGAACACAAGCUUUUCAAUGCCCCAAACUCUAAAUUUUUUACUUGGUUCUGUGGAAUCUUUGUGAUUGUUAUUACCUGUUUCUUAGCUUCUUUACGUACAUUAUAAUUGUUUCGGUGUGAAGCUUUAUAUUUUAUAUUUUCUGUUUGAUGGACUGAUAGGCCUACAUUUUUCUAUAUGAAGAUUGAAAAUUUUCACAGUUUGCACUUAUGGUAAAAGCUUAAUGGUACAACCAUCUGAAUAAAAACAUGCAUAUUAAUGGCAUUCCCACUCCCCUAAUUCUCUAAAUGUAUCUUAGAAUAAAUUCAAAAGAAAAAAAUAAAUUAUCACAAUAUAAGCUGCAGAUAAUAGUGCAUAAUCCAAACAAAACAAAAACAAGAAAAUAAUAGAACAUAAAAAGAUUCCAAUUAACCAACCUGGUCUUGCAUGCAGUUCGUAUGAAAUGGUAUUGUAUUGGUCAACUAUGACGUGCCUUUCCACGAAAUGAGGACUCACUCAAAUCUGAAAAUCAUUAACUCCUUUUGUUUAGCAUUGUUUUGGUGAGCUUCAUCAUUUUAGUUGUUGGAUUGGAUGGUUUUGCUGCGGAUGAUGAUUGGAGAGGAUAAUGAUAUGCAUACUGCUCUGCAUCUAAGUAAAGAUUUGACGGGCAGCCUCCUGUUUGAUACUAUGAUUUCUUCCGGAGAGGAGGCGUCUGAGCUUGGUUGUACUGAUUCAUUUUCCGGUCACACUUUGCUUUAAUGUUUCAAUGCGAGAUUUGGAGCUUUUGGGGUUUUAGUUGCUGCUGGUUCUGUAGCAGAGUUGAUGAAUGGAAACUAUUAAUAGGUUCUGCUUAUGAAAUUGCUAUGAAAAGUAAUAUCCCUAGCAUAUAUCUAUAUGAUCUUGAACAAAAAUCAUGGCAACAACCAUAUCUUCUACAUAUAUCACAAAGUUGUUUUAAUUUUAUAUCCACAUAUACUCUACUCUUAUCAAACCUUACAUUAUUGGAGAUGAAUAGUACGUAUAUUUUUCACCAAAUAACUGGAAACUGGAGGAUUCAAGACUUGGAAAAUCAAGUCAUUAUUUACUGUAAUUUAUAUAGAUAUUUACUGUUGUAGAGUCAAUUUCUGUUUUCUGGUAUUAAUAUAUUCCUUCUGUAAUGACUCAGAAGCUUCAACAUCGGAUUUUUCUUCUGGACUUUUGGAAGACUGACUUAUUGUUGUUAUUCUGAUUCAAGUUUAUUAAUUUUUUUAUUUUUUAUUUUUUUUCUUUCAAAAUGCUAGCUAGUCUAUGUAAUCCUCCAAUCAUAGACCUAGUGAUUUCUAUGUGUUGUUAACCUGUCAUUACCUGUUUGCUCCUCAUGUCUAUUACAUUUGUUUCAUUUUGAAGCUAUUGCUAUUUUAUAAUUUUGGUUUGAUGAACCCAAUUAAUAGGCCCAGAUUUUCUAUGAAGACUAAUUGUAUAAGGAUUUUUCAUAAAUCCACAGUUUGCACUUACCAGAAAAGCUUAAUUAAUCGUAUAAAAAAACUAAUGGGUGUGCAAUCUUAAACACUAGGUAAAAGCAAAAGCUAUCAUAACUCCAACAUUCCUUUUUAUUAAGCUGUAUAUAUGUAUAUGUAUACAUGAUAUCAUCAUGAUCUAUGUAAACAAACCUAGUACAGUUCUAUAUUAGUCUAACAACAGAUCCUUUCCUUCUCAUCUCUCUGUAAAUCAAAUAUCUAAAACAUAAAUCUAUCACAUAUAAUAUCAUUCAAACAAAAACAUGCAAAUUUCAUUUUGAUUACCCUGAAUUGUGAAUUCUCGUUCAGCACAUGAAAAUUAUUGAAUGUAUCAUAAAAUAAAAUAAAUAAAAUUCAAUAAUAAAGAAAAGUUUAGUGUAUAGAUGCAAAAUGUAGGCAUAUAUGCUUACCAAAGAAAAAAAAAAAAAAAAAAAACAAGAAAGAAAAAAAAUAAUAGAUAUUCCAACCAACCUAAUCUGUCAUUUAGGUACGAAAAGAGGNAUCACCACUGUUGGUAACGUUUUCAGCACACCAGGUUUUCAGUACAACCAGUCCUUUUUUCUGGGGUAAUUCGUUUACCCGGGCCCCUACCUAAACUUAGAAAUGAUCUACUCGUCUUUGGUUUGGGNNNNNNNNNNNNNNNNNNNNAAANAAGAAAGAAAAAAAAAAAAAAAAAACAGAAGAAAAAAAAAUAUAGAUAUUCCAACCAACCUAAUCUUGCAUUUGGUACGAAAAGAGGCAUCACCACUGUUGGGAACGUUUUCAGCACACCAGGUUUUCAGUCAACCAGCUUUUUCUGGGAAUGUUACCCGGCCCUCAAACUUGAAAUGAUCUACUCGCUUUGUUUUGGGGACUUCAGCAAGGAAACUGAGCACUACAUAACUACCCUCUCUAAAUCCAAAUGCCUGAACACAACUGCUGGAAUUUUAGUUGAUAAUUGAUAAGCAAAAGCUUCUUCUAGGCAUGUACUAUUUCAAAAAGAUAAUUCUUUUCCGCCACAGCAUACUUUUGCAUCACCCACACAUCAAACUUCUCAUAAACACGUACUUAACCAAAGCAAGUGAUUCCUCAUAUGCUGAAACAACCAACAAUACUUACUCGACGUACAUAUCGGCACAGUGAUACAAUAUUCACAAUAGUGGGGGGGGGGGGGGGGGGGGGGGGCGGGAAGGAUAGCAAACAUUAAGCUAUCCUGAUAAUAAAGAGAUAUAGUAAUAAAUAAAAAAACAAGUACUGGAAAGUAAAAGAAAUAACACCAGUACGUUUUUUACUCACAGAAACCCUGCACCAGGGAGAAAAACUGUGUGCCUAUAACUCUUGAGGGACAAACUUUUCCACUAAGUAAAACUCAUUUCUUACAAGAUUAUAGUCUAAGAAUACAACGACAAUUUGCAAACCUGCCUAGUCUACCCACUAGUCUAGAUCUAUCUCUCCUGUCUCUGAGUGACUCACUCACUCCUCACAAGAUUAUAGCUCUAGGGCUACAACAACGACUUGCUAUCCUGCCUAGUCUACCUGCCUAGUCUACCUACUAGUCUAAACCUAUCUCUUUUGUCUCUCAAGUGUUUACAUACGAAGGUAUAAGAAGUUUCAACUCAUAACUCAGCUAUCACUUAACUGAUUCUUCUUGAAUACUUCUCAGAAGACACAAUUUCGAACUCAGCUAUCCUAUUAAGAUUGAUUCAUCAGACCUCAGCUAACACCUUUAACUGACUCUCUUAGAACCCAGCUCUCCUCGAUCAACUGAUUCUUCUUGAAUGUUUCUAGGGUUGCUGCACUACCAACUCUCAUGAUAUGCAGAAUGCUUAUGAGUUUAUGUAAAAGAGUUUUUGUUCUUUGCUCUAAGAUUUACAGUCAACAAAGGAAGACUUAGAGCAUGCAUGAACAAUGCAAGCUGAGAACAAACUCAGCAAAUAAAAAUGUAAAAACUACAUUUUGACAACCAAGGAGCAAGAAGAGACUUGCUCCAUAUAUAUAGGCAAAGUGCAAGAUAAAGGAGAGCAUGCA